UUUUUUUUUUUUUUUUUUUUUUUGCCUUUUCAUCUUUUACUACACACUACUGAAACCAAAAGCUUGGUAAAAUUAUAAGAAAAAUUUUAACUGCGUGGUUCGUUUUAAAAUAAUUUUCUGCAUCUUUAUCUUCUAGAAGUUCCUUAUUAUUAUUAAUUUUUUUUUAUCCACAUGCAUGGAGUUCCUUUGUCCAUUUUCCACAGCACGGGUCCCGAGUCUGUGGCGUUCUUCCACGGCAGUCAAAACGGGGCAAUCUCCAGUGCAUUGUAUAGACCAGCAGCACACUAAUGUUAUGGAGUUCCUUCCUUUGUCAGUCACUGUUCAGGGCAACACGGGCAAGCAUUUCAGCAUAUUUCAAAGCAGCAGGACCGAUUAAUAGGAAUGUUUGCGGGCGAUGUUAUUGGCGGACGGAGUAGAAUAAAUACGAAUAUUUUUCGUCAUUCACUUUUUAAAUAAUAAUUUUAUAUCCUUUAUAAGAUAAAACCUAUAAAUUUUGACUCUAACUUAAAUUUUCUACCACUGUUUAUCCUGAAUUUUUAAAUUUCUUUUGUAAUUUGUAAUUAAAUAAAUGAUGCAAUCUAUAUUUAAUUUUGUUCAUAAGAUAACUUUUUUUAUACAUAUAUAAGAUAACUACGUGCUUGCGAGUCACGUGAUGAUUUUAAAUAAAAAAAUGAUCGAAAACUCGAGUUAUGAUCAAAUUUUAUUAAAUUGAAUUUGUAAGAAACGUAAAAUCUCAUAUAUUUUAUGAGUGAAUGACAAAAAAAAUCAUUUGAUGAGAAGAUGCGAGGGACAUUUGAACGAACGAUUUUUUUCAUUUUUGGGAGUACUAAUUUGUUUGGAAAUGGAAAAAGCUAAAGAAAGAAUAAAGUAAAUAGUACUGCUGACUGCUCAGGAUUUCACUUGGGAUAUUUUUCAAACUCCACAUACUCGAUAGUACGACAUUGCAUUUCUCGCGCUCCCAUACAUACGUAGCUUUAUUGCACUAACAACUAUGAUUUUUUAUUAUUAACAAACAAUCAGGCUGGACAUCAGAAGUAUGGAUCUGUACCUUGAACUCUUCAUGUUCAAGGAAAUACAUACAUUGCCAGGUAUUGCUGCAACUACUACUUGUGGGGCAGCUUCACAAUCACAACAGGACAUUUGGCAUGGUGAGCACAGUAAUCGCUAACACUUCCCAGGAAUGCCCUGCAUACAACAAAUACGCCAACAUAUUGACACUUCUAGUUUUCAAACACAUUAAGAUCAGAUCAGAAUAAAACAAAGGGCUAAUUAGAAACUGCCUCUUGAUUUGACCAAGUCCGCGGCUGCCAACAACAAGAACGUCCACGUGCAUUCGUUCUACUGCCUCACAAAUCAUUUCCUUGGGAUCUCCCUCAAGAAUGAGGGUUUCUGCAGCGACCUACGUGCAAAUAUAUAGCCAUAUCCAAGAAUCAGCACUUCUCAAUAUGGCUUACUUUCGAAUGCUUCUCCAAAAUGAUAGUACUACAUGGUUUGACACGCACGGAAAAAAAAAAAGAAGAAGAAAAGAAAGAAGCUCCUGCAAUGUUCAUACUAGUACUGCUAACUAGAUAAUGACCUUUCUGUCCUUGCACAUACGGGAUGCCUGCGAGAGUAUUUUUGCAGCAUUUUGCUCCCGGGCUUUGGUGGCAGACUCGACCACUGGAAAUGUUAGAUUUCACGCAUAUAAUACUUGGGCAAAAAAUAACAUCAAUGGCAGCACCAAAAGCACUAGUAGUAGCUACUAGUUCAGAAUAGACAGACUAUGGAAUUGCAGAACAUACUUUUGUGUUUGUAAUUGCAUUAAUGGUGAUAUCACUAGUUGCUGUGUAAUUAAUUUAUAACAACCACGACGUACCGUAUCCGCCCGGGAAGACGUAGUGAGGCAAGCGAUCCAUGACAUGGACGAGGGAAACGAGGUUGGACUCCACUCGAUGGUCGUGUUGAUGAUCAGGUGUUUCAGUACCAGUUGGUAGCGUACUCAUCACGAUGUUACUGAAAAAUUUAUCCAGAACCCAAUUGAGAGCGUAGAAGCUCUCCUCGCUGUCAUCUACUGCCACCAUCGCCCUCAUCUUCUUUCUUUCUUGCGGCAACAACAUCUGCUGCUGCUCAGCCUGCUCUUGCUCCAUUGUUCCUCGUGGACCUGCUGCAGUACGGGUCCCUUUCUCUUCUAGGACACUGCUACUGGGCUAGUAGUGGUCUCCAUAUCUCUUCUUUAUUCGUCUGGGACUGGGAGUAUAUAUAUAUAACCACGUCUGGAAGUGUUCAACCGUCUCUCAAGAAACUACUAGCAGUGUAAUUAUUACUAGGUUAAAAGUGACGCUGGGUUGAAUAAACUUUUGAUCUGUAGCGGCUAGUCAUGAAUCAUGUUUCUCUAUGCACAGAAACAUUGGAUAUGGAUGCAACACGGGAGCAAGCAAGUUGGCACGGGUGCUGCGACGUGGCUUCCUCCUAUGUACUUACCGCUACUUUUGCAUGUCAAAAAUGGAAAUUUCUAUAUGCAUGGAAGCCACGUGUUUUUUUGGGGGGGGGGGGGGGGGUGGGAGUCAGGUUCAUCUUUUGCCAGGUUUCGAUCUCAAGCUUUUAAGAUCCUGCCAUCAUGCCCCCCCGACUUUAUAUACCUAUCCACCGAACACAAUACUUUCUCGUCUAUCUGAGGUUUAGGGAUAAUCCUUCGGAUCGAAUUACGGGGCCUGGCGUUGUCGUCUCAUUGCAAUAUUCCUACUUCUUUCAUUGCAAUAUUCCAGGUAAAUUAACUCGAAAUUCAUACUUCCAUGUGUAUAUAUAUAGACAUACAAGUGCUAGAAACGGAACUAAAGUAGAAAGUUGAAAUUGUAUGUCUAGUGACACACGUAUAUAUAUAUAUAUAUAUAUAUAUCUUGCUUGAUACAUUACUGAAAAUUAAAAAAGCCAGGUGGUAGCUCUGCGGGUUUUCGAUCUACAGGAAUGGAAAGAAAAGCAGUAGAUCAGACUAGUGGUGGAACAGAGGAGGAGGCAGCUGUAGUCGUCCAGCAGCAGCCGUUGUUGGCUGGGGAGAGAACGCAGAUCAUGAAAGUGAUGGUGGCGGUGGACGAAAGCGAGGGGAGCUUCUAUGCGCUCAAGUGGACCCUUAACCAUUUCUUCCACCAGCUCCCAGCUGCAGGUGCAGUACCGCCCGAGGAACCCGGCCGGGAGUCCAGCAUGAUAACUAUCGUACACGUUCAGGAGCCCUUUCAACCCUUCAUUUAUCCUGCUGGACCAGGUAUAUAGUUUUUCUCUCUGUGUGUGUGUGUAUCUAAAGCAAACAUUAAUUUUGUUUUCUCCAUAUCGUACUUGAUUCAUUUUGACUUAUUUUCUAGCUGUCUAUGCAACACCCAUGGUGGUUGAGUCCGUGAAGAGAGCCCAAGAAAAAAAUGCUGCUUCAGUUCUCAGUCGUGCUUUGCUAAUGUGCAAGGAUUACAAGGUAAAUCAAUAUAUUAUGUAUCACAUCAAAUACAGCAUGCACGUAUGUUCAUGAUGUACGUGAGUGCAUGAUAUGUACUCAACUGCUAUUUCAUAUUUGAGGAAGAUCAAGGCAGAAACUUUGAUUCUUGAGGGAGAUCCGAAGGACAGGAUUUGUGAAGCUGCAGAGGAACUGCAUGUUGAUCUUGUGGUUGUCGGUAGCCGCGGCCUUGGCAAGAUAAAGAGGUGCGUGGUAAUAGUAGUGAUUUCUGUAAUUAAACGUCAGUCAGCUGUAAACAAUUGCUAAUAUAUAUUUUGAGAUGUAAUCUUGGUUUUCGCAGGGCUUUCCUGGGAAGUGUUAGCGAUUAUUGUGCGCAUCAUGUGCGCUGUCCGGUUCUCAUUGUGAAGCCUCCAAGGGACCAGGAGGUCCAUAAGAAGUAGAUUUAGCUUUCGGUCCUAUAAUCAGUAAUCGCUCAGCCAAAAGAGUUGCAGCCGCGAUAAUUGUAAUACUACUCCUCAGUCUAUCGAUCAGGUUGAUAGACUGAGGAGUAUUAAGUGAUCUCUUUCCCUUUCCUUUGGCAAGCCUACAACAGUUUUUCUCUUUGCAAUGUCGGUCAUCUCGUCUGACUGAUGCUCACAGUUGGAAUUCUCCGAGUUUUAUCUUAUGAGAGCAUUUGGCAUUGAUUUUGUUAUUCUCUCCUAGUUCUCCCUUCUCUGGUUCUUCCCUCCUUCCAUACGCGAUUGUACAAAUUAAAUCACCUGUUACCGAGUUUUAUGUUUCACUCUCAAGGAUGUUUAUGCCCAAGUUGGGAAAAUGACCGACCUACGAUUUGUGAUUGUGAUGGCUUGAACGUCCUGCCGCCCACCGUGGGUGCAAAUGUUUGAUGGAUGGACAGAAAAGACGCUGGAGGCUCUACUCACGUUACCACGUAAUAAUAAUGUAGUGGGUAGCAAUAAUCAUUCAUCAACAGUAAUAGCAGGUAAUUCAUCAUGUUUGAAUGCUCGAGUGCAGCCUACGCCGAAUAGGAAUACUUGUGUGUAUGCAUGGAUGAGGGGCAGUAGAAUGACCGCUCUGAACUAUUCACGGUCAGAUUUUGGCCAAAAAACAAUAUACAUAGUUGUACAUCGAUUUUUACAGUAUGUACAAAACUCGCAAAAUUUUAUAUUAAAAUUACACAUUAUUUACGCCACGUGCAACCAAAAUUACGCGCAAUUGAAAAUGACCAAAAUCGUCAGAAACGGUUGCCCCUUGUAUGCAUGCUGUUGCUUCAGCAAUCGUAUAUAUUAUCGAGAUACAGACGAGAAUCAUGAAUCAGACUAAUAUUGUCCACAACAGAAAAUAUGAUGAUGAUGAUUGUUACCAUUCUCCAACCGAUUCCAUUUAAUGUGAAUAAUGUGUAGGAGUCGGAAUUCAGAAUUCUGAAACCCCGAACACACGUAUGUAUACAAACUUUUGUGUUAGAUUCGCUCGUCAAAUAUACAACGUCCGUGACGUUACUUUUCCUGAACUUUCCCGCAAACAGGUUAGACAUGCCGUCAUAUGCCCCUAUCUCUCUUGCAACGCUUGAAAUGCUCGUCAACGUCUAAAUAACAAAUAGAUGCUGUUUAUCCCUGGGCAGAUUAGAUGCGAUAAUAUACAAUCAGGAUCAAUACAAGUACACAAUAAAUAUCGGAUAAAAAGCACACAAACCUGUUGACUCAUAAUAAUUUCCACAGCUACAUCCAAAUCCCCAUCAGAAGCCGCCAACGCAACUUCUACCUGCGUCUGAAAGAUUCCAGCGAAUUUCUCAUCAAGGUUUUGAGAACAUCAUUUAAGCAAUUACAUGAGCACUGGAAUGCAAAAGGGUCUUUUUUUUUCCUUUGGCCAAAGAAAAUAAUACUCAGAUAAAUGAAAUUACAAACUGAGAAAGAGUCAGCACAAAAUAUGCAACCAGCAACUAUUUACCCUUUCAAAACCCAUGGCAACAAGUUUCUGUAUCUUUUCAUCAGAUGCAACAGGGCCCUACAUGUACAAGGGAAAAGAAACAAUUAAUGGUCAGUCAGAGGAACAAAAUACAUCAAGAAUCAAGCUUCCUACCACAUACGAACCUGAUUACUCUGCGCUCUGGUGACAGCUGCUGAUGCACCAUCAACUGUUAGCUGCCUGAAAAGAUAAAGGCCUCUCAGCACAAAAGCCUAUUAGAACAAACUAAUAGGCCUUCCAUUAAAUCACACCCAAGCUAUUGAUUUAGAGGUUGUAGUGACGAGGAAUGAGACUGAUAAAACAGGAGUUAUAGGCAUCAAACUAAAGAAUGAACUCUCAGUGAGAGCUAUGAAGUCACAUUUGAACAUUAACUUGUGUUCUGCGAACAAGAAUUAUCCCCUUCCCCAUCCAAUCCAUAUUUGCAAGCGUAUAUCAGGUGAAACAAAUUGAAACAAUGGUGCCCUUUUCCAAGUCUGUUAAUUAACCAAAUGGCAAAGUAAAAUCCAUUGAACUACCCACGGAAUGACCAUUCAAAUAUUAACUUCACUAGAAGUACAUGACUUCAAACUUCCUGCUUGCUAUAAAGCAAUUCAGUGCAACUACCCCUAGGUUUCUUUGUUACAAACAAAACAGAUAAAACACAAAUCCAUUACCAUUUGGGAAUAUCAAAUGAGCAUGAAUAACCCAACAUUUUACAAUUAAAACUCAAAAGAGAGUGAUUUCCUGUUUGAAAUGCAUACAUUGCAAAGCAGCAAAGCCAAUACCCAAAGAAAAAUACCAGUAUGGAGCUCAAAUAUAUGACAAGUCUCUGUAUGUAUAUAAAUGUCAAAUCAAGGUCAUGUUAGAGGAGAAGUCCACUUCCUAGUACCUUCCAUCUGAUAGUAGUUCACCCCUAGCAUUUUCUACUGUCUGUAAUGGAUUGUCUGUGUUGCUGUUGUCCAGAAGUCUAGCCUGUAAGCUUGAAUUAGGAUUGCUUUCAGAUGGUGAGACAAGCGUUCUUCCCCUUCCUGGAAAUCUACCAUCCUCUUCUACAGACUGCAUCUGUGAAUCAAAAUAAUAAAUUGUUAAAGUGAUCAUAUCACAUGGACGUGGUUUUUUUUUUUGUUUGAAUUACUACAGCUUUUUACUAAAGAAUGCCAUACUAUCGCAGCAAAGAGAAUGCACAUAUAUGUGGGCCACAAGAAAUCGAAAUUUGAGUAUGUUCCUAGCAUAAACUAGAUUUAAUGGCAGAAAACAGAAAAAUGAAAAUAUUCAAUGUUCAAUAGAGUCAUGGUUAGAAACCAGAAAAACAGACAUCUGAAAUUAUGUUUACAACAGCGCCAUAUACAACAACACAAGGAUGCACUGGAACCAAAUAACAUCUAACAAUCCUAAAAAGAUGACAGACAAACACUCUUAAGGAUGCUAUUCUGCAUUAAGAGCAGUAAUUCAGAGUUUGAUCGCAAACCCCAGGACAGAAAUUCUCUCAAUAGACAGCCUGCACAAGUUGUCUCUCCAAUAGUUAACAGCAACCCCUAAAUAAACAAUAAUGGUAAAGUUUUCUCCAUUGAAUAUAUUAUAUUAUCAAUCAGCUCCGACCAUUUUCUGCUUUUCUAGAUUGAUCCAACCUGUAAAAGACUUGUAUCAUCUUUUUCUUGAUGCAUUUAAUUUUCUUCAGCAUUUUGAGAACUUCAUACAUUCAAUAUGUUUUAUGGCUAGAGAUAAUAAGUAGCUUUAGCGCUUCAAAAAUUGAUAGCGACCAGCAAAUGCAGUCCUCCUUUUAUCAAGAUUGAAUAUUCGUGAAUUUUAGAGUAUGCAUGUUCACCACUGCAUUUAUGCAGGCUUCUAAGUUUUUCCAAAGGAGAAAAUAUAAACCAGAAAAGGCUACACAACAAAGCCCUUAGCAUCCCUUCUACCUAAUUUUGCAAAAUAUGUAUGUCAUUUAAAAUUGAGGAGAAUUUCAUAUUCAUAUACACCAUUAUUGCAUUCAAGAUCUCCAUUCUCUUGACUGAAUUACAGAGUGAGAUGAUUUGCUUUGAAAGUACAUAUCUAAGACUAUGCAGAAAAUUUACUUAAAUCUCCCCUCAACAAUCUAACUCAUCCAGCUCACCCUUUUCUCCACAAAGGAAAAUGAUUCAUUAUUAUGGCAUCCAUCGCCAACAGCAUCACCAAAAAGAGUGAACGGAAACAUGAAGAAAUGAAAGAAAAGCAGCUGAGCACCUGAGAGGUCUCUCUUUGUGGCAUCCAUGAAGAAAAGUUCCUCCAAACAUUUCCAGAAAGCAAUCCACUAUUCGGAAACAGAAUCAUCAUGUUCAGAUGUAUGUUAGAAAUCAAACUAAAAUGAAGAAAACAUAGUAAAACCAGACAAAUCUACCUGGAUGUUGGAUUUUGACUUGUGUGAGUGGGAAUGUAGCCUGAAGCAUUCCCACCAGUGCACAACAUAAACUUCGGUCUUCUCACGCACGUUGACUGACCAGGGAAGUAUAAAAUCAUUGCUAGUGAGAACAAUACAUUAACAUAAAUCAUGCAAAACAAACAAAAAUACAAGAGUAGAUAAACAAAGAAACGAUUUUGAGCAAAAGUUAAACUUCUUAUACACCUACAACUCUCAAGUUUUUAUCCUCCUUAUGGAUAUCAUUAAGUAUGACUGAUCCUGCUAACUCAAAAGGCUGUUAUCUCAACUUACAAGUAUGCAUCUAAACUUGUUCAACUGACAGACGACCCAUAGUCUGCCAUUAUCUACUAGAAAAGAACCUUCAAUUGUGUGUUGGACACACAUUGGUAUUAAUAGCCUCCUAUAAUGUAUACUUUAGGGAAAUUCAAACAUCUAGGCUUUGCCUCUCUCUCAACUGUCCUUUUUACUUUCAUUCCAAGUGCUGUCAAACCUCAUAGCUUCCCUACCAUAUACAAGAGAUCUUAGCUGUCCUUCAAAUCUCAUCUGCAUCAACUAGAAAAGUCAAUUCGAAAAGUAAAGAACAAGCAUGCCUUUAUGCAUAUGUAAGUGAUGAAAAUACAUAAGUGUUUGGAGAACUUCAAAUUACAUUUCAAUAUAAAAGAAAAUGAUAUCAACAAUAGCACGUCAAUGGGAGAUAUGACAUUAAGAAGAAAAUCGGUAACAAUGGAUCUGAUUCCAAUCUGCUUCAAAGAGGAAAAUCCCAGGUUUCAUGCAAAAAAGGAAAGCAUCCUUGAUGAUACUUACAAGCCAUGAGGAUGAUUCAAUUGCUGAAAAAAUGGACGUCCCAGGAAUUAAAAUGUUGAAUAAUCCAUAAGUAUCUGCACGAGUAUAAAUUGCAACUGAGUGUAAAUGUAGAGGAGAAUCCAAUAGUAGUUAAAAAGGAUAUACGUGAGGACAAAUAGAAAUUCUUAGAAUAAGCAUACAUGCAAAUCCAGACAAAAUGCCACAGAGAUGUCCAAGAAAAGAGACAUUUGUCAUAAGAAGCUGAAACACCACCAAUAAGAUCCAGGCAUACCUGACAGAGGUAUAUCAAUUAGAGUAUGACAUACAGCUAACAUAUGAAAGACAAAAGGAGAUAAAGUUACACUGCAAUGCAAUAAAUGUUUAUUUACCAUUUAGCAGGCACAUUAAAUAGCCCAAACACGCUGCAAAGAAAAUAUAAUAAGUUAUCAUGUCAGAUCCUGGAAGUUUCAAAGACUGAACUUAACGUUUCACAAUAUUAGAAAGCCAAUGGUACUUAUACAUGGUACAAGAUAUUCCAAAAAUAACUUUUUUGCAGACAGGUCUAUCUGCAAAAAGGAUUUAAUUCAAGGUUACGGUUAAAUGUGUAUCCCCAAAAAGGGGCAAGGAAAAGAUAAAAAGCUUUUGCUGAUGGCAAUUAUUCACAAGAGUCAGCAACAAGGAAGCCAAACCUUCUAGACUGGACUCCGCUCAAACUGGUCUCUAUCACAAUCAUAGAGAAGAGAAUCCCUGAGAAUCCUAUGCCGCACUCAUUCAUAAGAUAGUCAAAAGGACGGAAGGGAUUAUGAGAAAUCAACAAGGCUAAGACAAGGUGGAAUAUGGCAUUGCUUGUUGCCAAUAAAAUGAUCAUAUAAAACAAGCGGACCGACCCCAUGAUCCUCUCUAGUUCAGAUCCCAGAGGAACCAAAGCCAACAUAUUGAACAGAACAUGAAGCAUAGAACCAUGGAAAAGAAUUGAAGUAUAGAUCCUGUAAACUGCAUAGAAGAUAGGAAAGAGAUCCAAGGUUAAAUAUGAACUGCAUAGCAAAGGAAAAAGAUCCAAGGUUAAUAUUAACAGUAUGAUGUGACUUCUACCGUGGAGAGAAUUAGCUCUGUAAAAAUACAUAAAUGCAGCCAUAGGCUAUGAGAUGCAUUUGCCUACUACAAAGAAAGAAAAAGACCUAUUUGCAGCUAAAAUUUUAAGAUUUCAGAAAUCAAGUUCAAUAUAUUGCUUAAAAAGAUUAAUAACAGAUCUUUUAAUAUGCACUUUUUAGCAAGAUUAAGAAGGAAGAAGUGUCCCAUCGGGGACAUCCGAUAAAAUUGGAAGAAAAAGAAAGAAGUAAACACUAACCUUGAAAAUGUGAAAUAACUGCAGAUGGCCAAAAGCAUACUUCAGCAAAUGAGUCAUAUCCAACUAGUAGACAAACCAAGUAAACGACCCCACAAACAAUCACCACUGUAGAAGUGACGAAUGGAAUUCCUUCCCACCAUUGCCCUACCCUCGUGGAUAAUCCGGCCUUGACAGAAAAUAAAAAAUGAAACUCACCAGAAGAAGCACAGCAGUAUUUUUCUCCUCAUACAUUAAACAAGUCAACAACUCAAAAAAAGGUAAGAAGUGAAAAGUGGAAAAUUGUAAUAGACCCCCACCACCAAAGCACAUGGGACACAAUCCUCCCUCAAAGAAAAAGGAAAAGGAAAAAAAGAAAUGAGCACUAGAUGGUAGGACUCAUGUCGACAAAAUUGAAACCAUGAAGACAUUAAGAACCAGCAUAAUGCCAGUAUGGGCUAUCAAGGCAGAUCACAAUAUGGUCAAUAAAAGAGCAGAAAACUCCAUCGUUAGUUAGAAUACCACUGUUAGAUAGCUCAUUGGACUAAGUUCAAUUCUUCCUUUUUGGUCCCUCCUUUUCUAUGGGUGUAAUGGGGAAUUAAAGCAGAAGAGGCAUAGGUUAACAGUAAGAAUAAGUAAGGCAAUGGCUACUGCUCUUGCCAAAACUAUUUGCACAAUUCAAAAGAAAAUAAAACCAUACAAGCUUUUGAAAACUCUAAAAGUGGGCCAUGCGAACAGGGAUGUGAAUUCAUCUGGAGAUUACCAUUUACAAUGCAGGCCCUAUAAUCUCCACCAAAAGAUGCAUAAAUUCCCUACCCCAACAAGUAUUUUCCUUGCGAUUAUCUAUUAUUUAUCAUCCAACAGCAGUAAAUGUUCCUUAAUUCGCAUGAAUAAUUAACCCUAUCACUCAAUCCAAGUACACGUUCACACAUUCGACAAGUCCCCAAUUCAACAAACUUCGCAAAAUGAAAAUUUAGGGCUUUAAACUCCACAACACCCCCCUCCCUCACGCCACUUCCGAUUUGAAAACCAUGCUACAAGCUAUCCGCAUUUCAGCACAAAUAUGUACAUGCCAACUCAUUCAAACCCAAAUGUAUACAUGGCAAAGCAAGAAUGUAGAACCCAAAGAAAAAAUCCAAACAAACAACUGUCUUCUUCAUUCUUCAUUUCGCAAAAAUUAGACAUUCUAGACGGAUAGACAUAUAACCGCCCUCAAAAAAUUAGCAAUACUCUAAACUAGAGUUCACGCUAACUACAUAUACCUCGACGAAAUUCCAUUUGCUCAAUUUUGGAGUGAUAAAAGAGGAAACGAUGACUGGUAUUUUAACAGAUUCGCAAUCGAUGGUUCAAACAGAAGUUUGUAGAUGUCACCGAACUAACUUAAGUAACAACUAAUUGAAAAAGAAAGCAGGUAAGCUAAGGGUAGACGGGUAACCUCUGAAACGAUGUUUGAUCUCAUGCUGCGGUUUCUUCUUCGAGCUUCUUGCAUUCAAAGUAGUAUCCGUUUUUCUCAACCUCCACUCCAGAACCUCCAAUUGCUUCUUAUAUACCACUUCUCGGUCAAGGGUUCGGAUCUUUACCGAUUUAUAAAACCUGGAAUGGUAAUAAUGAGUUCUGCAAACUCCCAUAUGGGUGGGUUGUGUUAAAACCGGGCCGGGUAUAGAAGGCCACCGAGAUACGGGCCAUUCUGUAGAGAGAUACUCUAUUUAUUCAUAUUUAUUUUUAAAAGAGUUCAGUUGCAUAAAAAAAAAAUUUUGACAUGCAAGAUAAGACUAGAGAUGGACGUGAGCCGAGUCGUAAUCGAGUAGCUCGCGAGUAGCUCGGUCAACAGUUUGACUUGAACUCGAGUUGACCGAGUUCGAGCCAAGUCUCGAGUUACUAGAUUGUCAUUUAAGUCGAGUUUCAAGCCAAUAUUCUGAGACUCGAGGCUUGUCGAGCUAGUCGUCGAGCCUGAAUAUUUAAAUAAUAUAUAUUAUAAUUUAAAUAAUAUAUAUUAUAAUUAUAAAAUGACCAUUAUGGAUAUAAAUUUUACGGAAUUUACAUUCAAAUCAAGUAAAAAAAUUUGAUUAGACUUGACUUGAUAAGACUCGACUGACUAAAAGUCGAGCCUUAUCAAGUCGAGUCUCAUGUUUAAAACGAGUUCUUCGAGUCAAGCUUCGAGUAUCAAUUUUUUGUACUAGGUCGAGCUCGAGCUCAUAUAUAUGAGUCGAGUCGAGUCGAGCUCGAAUAUAGCAAUACUCGAGCUUAAUUUGACUCGAUUACAUCCCUAGAUAAGACUACCAUCUAAGGAGGAUAAUUCAUAUUGUAACAAUUUUUUUUUUACAUGCAAGAUAAGACUACCACCUAAGGAGGGAUAAUUCAUAUUGUAACAAUUUUUAAAAGGUUUCAUCCAUGAGAGUGUUUGGAUAGCUAAAAUUUUCUACAUAAUAUUUUAUUUGUAUUAUAAACACAUUUCUCAACCUAUUUUUUUUUUUAUAUUUUCAACUACCUUUUAUUUUGUAUACAUCACAUUAAAAAAUUUUUUAUAAUUUUAACUACAUUUUUAUUUUACAUAUAUUACAUCAGAAAAAGUUCAAUAGUAAUUAUUUCAAAUAAUACUAGUCUAUCCAAUCUAAAUUACGGCAUUGAAACGGUUCAUAAGAUUCACUUGUAUCGUAGGAUAUACUCGUGUGGCUAUUGGAUGUUACAAUUCAUUGCAACAUAAAAUUAAUGAAAAGAUUGCUUCUCUUUCUUUAAGCAGUAAGCAUGAUGACUCAGGGACAAGUAGAAAGCGACCCAGUAGUCUAUUUUCUCCGUUUGGUCAUCGUCUCGUUUUGCUCUGCAGACUUUCCGGGUGCCUUGAGCUCACUCGCAAACACUCAUCCCCGGCACCAUCGAGUGGUGGAUUCAUUCACAAAAUAGACAAAACCUCUGUUAAUCACCUUGUUAUCACCAUCCACCAAGCAUGAGCGGUGGCAAUUGAAACAUGCAACAAGUUGAUAAAACCAGAUCAGAAUUGUAAAGGGAAAAUUAACAUUACAGACAUCAUAAUCUCAGCUGCUAAAAGGACCAGAAAGAGGCCCAUGUCCGUUUCAAAGGCAAACUGCAUUUUUCCAUCAGCACGAGUAAACUGUAUCUAGCUUUUCCUCAUCCUCUUUUUGAGCAUGAACAAGCUACAUAUUGUUUGCGUGCCUUCCAAUUUCCAAGCACUCUGAGACUGAGCAGCCUCGACAGGCCCAAGGUUAACCACGUCAAAUGAUCCCAAGCAGAGGCAUUACCUAUCAAUAAGGAAAAGGAUGCUAUAAAGCCAGGUAUAAACUUUAAGUGGUCAAUGAUGCACAAAAGCAGAAAAAGAUGAAUGCUGAUUUUGUUAAACUGUUAAUAUUUUUUGCACCUAAAACAAACGAUUUCCAAGUACUGGGCCAUGAGGCAAAGGAUGCCAGCUAUAUGAUUGUCAAUGUACAUAUCAGAAAGAGCUGGAUUACAAAUUACCUUUUACUCACAACAUCGUGAUAAGAGAACGCCAAGGAAUCUACUGCUCCUGCUCCCACCCACCAAGUCUUGCCCCAGGAUCAUAGUUGGUGAACAAUCGAAACUCAUUGCCAAGUUUGCUGGAAUGCUGAGGUCGAAAACCACAAGGAUGUAAACCUAGAAGCGCUGCAGCGUUAUCUUUCUGCACCUCACCUAAGUUAGUUGCAGGAAAGCAUGAUGAAUAAAUUUCAGCACUUAAGUGUCAUUAUUACUAUGUUGUUGUUUUACAUAAGAUAGUCAAACAUGAAGAUCCUGCAAAGAAAAAGGCUUUUGAAAUUAAGCUUGUCUACACAUAUUUUUGCAUAAUACUUUACCAUUUGACAUUAGCAACUGAAGAAAUGGUCAUAAAGACAAUCAAAUGACAAAUGAGCAAAAGCAAUAUAGACUGAAUAGAAGAGGAAGGAAUUUCCACAACAUGGCAGAAAGCAAUAAGCAUUUUGAACAAAAUUUGAUCUUUACCAGUGAGUAAUAGCAGAAAGGAUUUUCCGGGUCUCAAGAGGAAAGAAAUUGUUUGAGUAACUUUCUCCAAGCAUUCCUUGCUCUGGCAAGAACAUCAACAUUCAAAUUAGGUAAUAAGUACAUAUUGGAAAUAUUCCGGCUUCAAGUCAAUCACACAAUGAGAAUUUGCCAAGACAAUUCUGGGAAGAUACAAUUAUACUCCAACAGAGGGUAAUAUAACUCAUUGGAUGACAAAAUCCUUGUCAUUUACAAUUCAUCAACCAAACAUUUCAUUAUAGUUCAUGCCAUGUAGCAUGAACAUCAGUAAAGACGGAAAAUAAAUUACUCAUCUUGUCCAAUUUUGUGAUCAGUUUUGCAUUCAUAAACUUAACCAACAAACAGAAAUCUAGGUCAUUUGUCUAUCUGAGAUGCGUACAAACAGCUAAACAAGAAGAAUCGAAGUGCAAAGCAAGCAUAUACAUUGCUGUCGAGACAAGCAAUAGUGCAGGCAUGAUCUUCUUAACUCUUACCAAGUAAGGAGGAUCAGCAACUACUAUUGGAAAUGAAUGGUUCAAUGAUGCCGGUAUAUCUUCAGGCUGAUUGUAGUCGUAAAAUGUGAAUUCGCUUCCGUACUGCUCAAAUCGUUUGUCAUACUCAAGAAGUUGAGCAGGUACUCCAGAAUUAAUUUUCUAAAUCCAAUGAAUGAACAGUUACCAGCUAGCAUGAAUGAAGCAGUUAAAAAAGCUGAGAAGACAGGUAAGAGAUGAGAUAGUUUUAUAUACUUAUGUUCAUUGCUAGAGCAAGUGCUGCCUAAAAUAAACAGUCGUGUACGCCACCUGGCAUCUCAAGUCAUCCUUAGUAAAUUACAAUAUACCUUGAGGUAUGCAUAAAGAGUGGGGCAAGCAACGCAGGCAACCGAAGGGGAAUCAAAGGAGUGACAGAGAGUUAGAACUUCUUUGGCUACUGUGUCAGCAGUCUCCCUGUCAUACCAGAACUGGCUGAGCCGCCAGUCUUCUGUCACCAGCGCCACCUCUUCCUCCUCCACCUCUGCUGAAGAUUCCUGGGUGGUAGAGUGAUUCUGCUCGGCCAGGAACUCUUUGAGUGCUUCAAUAGCAUAGGUACUCAGCAUUGGAGCAUCAUCAUCCUCAAUAAUGUCAUUUUGUGGAAUAAUAGGCUCUUCUAGGUGACCUGCGGAGUGACUGGCUUUGGACUCCAUUUUAAUUGCCAGCCUCGUAAUAAGAGCUUAUUGCUUCAAAUAAUGAGUUUGUGGUCUUAUUCUGCUAGCAACCAGCUCGAGUCUACAAGCAGCAACAAAAUAGGAUGGCAAAGACUAGAUCUCCCAAUAUGCUCCUGUACACAGAAGAAAGGAAGGGAGAAAUGAGCCGCAUAUGAGCUCCAUUGCUGAAUUAACAUUUAAGAUCGUUUAGAUCUUCAAACAUAGAAGAAGGAUCGGAAAACCCCAAUUACUACAAGUCCAGAUGGGUAAAUUUGGAAGCAAUGUAACAGCAUGAAUUGAAGUAAUCUAGAAUCUUGAGUUAGAAAAAAUCCAGAAGCUAAGCUCAACAUUGGGUUUGCAGCAUAUAAGUUAGAAAGAUAAAAACUCAUCCUACUUGAACUAGUUCAAAAGAACAGAGAGGUUCUGGUAUUAAAUUUGUGCUUUCCACCAAAUUCAACAGUACACUACCUCAAAUCUCAAUCCAUAUGGUAUUAUAUAGCUUCUUCUUUGACACAAUGCGGUCCAAUCAUCUAAACCUCAAAACUCUCAUUUAAGCCCAAUGAAGCUAAAAAGGUACAAAUUCGGGGCCCACUAAAUGGAGGGAAAAAAUAAAUAGAAGUAAAACUAAAAGAAAAGCAUAAAUUAAACGCUUACUUUCAUCCAGGAAAAAAAAAAAAAGAAACAUAAUUCCCAACAAAUGCAGAGAUACAAAUGAUUAAGCAUGAACAUCAUUCUCCCUCGUCAGUACAAUCUGAGAGAAAAUGAAAUUCCCAAAACAACCUAAUUAGUAGAAGCUGAUUUGGGAGUAGCUAUAGUACCUUUUUCCAGAAAAGUUAUUGAAAAAAGGCCGAAGUUGAUCGGAGGGUUUGUGCAACCUUGCUUCUCUAGGGUGCCUACAGUGAGCAGAGGGCGGAGGCGGCGGGGUGUAGGGAAGACGAACGAAAAAAAGAUGCUAGUACAAUACUACUCCAAUAGAUGUUCUAGUAUUUUGCUGUAAAAUCCUGGAAACAAUCAGGGCAAAACUGGUGCUGGAUUGGCAGCGUUACUCCUCCGCAUUACCAUAAUCAGGCUUGCAAGUAAAGUAGUAGCAUCAGUCCUAGCCUCCUAGGGAAGGCAACGGCGGCAGGCACCCGCGGUCACCCGUCCCGCGGGGGUACAAAUGGAGCACGGGGCAAAAUAUUUACCUCCGCUUUAAAACGGGGCGGGGAUGAGGCCAUCCCUCGCAUAAAAUAUAUAUAUAUAAAUAUACAAAAAUAACAAAAUUUCUAACUGUUCAAGGUAUUUUUAGUUAGUGUUUGAGAAUUCUUCUUCUUUUCUAUUAAUUCUAAAAAAUGCUUGGACAUACGAGGAGAGUUUUGCUUUUCGUAUAGGGUUGCUUCUGAUUUUUUUUUGCUUCAUGUACUAGGCUUUUGUGUGCAUAAAUUUCUGAGUUGUUCAAUCCUUUUAAAUAGCCAUGGAUAUAACUUAUUAUAGUGGUGGUCAUCUUUAACUAAUUAGUCAGGAGACCUGUAAAUGCUAUUACUUAAUGGAAAAAACUCUAUAUUAUUAUAAAGCUAUGUUGUGGCUUUAGAUAUGAAUUUCUGGCAUCUUAUGUACUAAUAUUCGUUUUACGGCAAUUAAAUGGUUUAAGAUUUUAGUAUUAAAAAAAAAAGAUAGCCAUGGAUAUAUGUAUAAUGCUGAAAUAACUCCAAAUGAUAUAUUUCGGUCAGGAGAUGGGUUGGUAACUGAAAAGUCAGAUAUACAUAGAGGGGCAAUCAAGUGCAAUCUAAUAAAAAAUUCAGUGAAUUAUUGUAAAUGGACAUUUUAUGAUAAGUUGAUUUCUUUUCUUGCAUAGGACCGCGGGGGAAAUGAGGCGGGAGCGGAGCGGGGGACGGGGGGGCAAGGUGCGAAGGAUGGGGCGGGGAACGAGGAGAGUUAUUUGACAAUGGGGCAGGGGAUGGGGGAAGAAACCCCUGCCUCACCCCCUCCCCAUUGCCAUCCCUAAUCAGUCCUGGCAUACUAUCCUUUUGUAUUUGUCGAAAAUUAUAGCACUAUUUCUUUUUGGCCAAAUUUCAGUAAACCUUUAACGUUCAGUUCAUGUUUGGGCAUUUUAAAAAUAAAAAAAAAAUCAAUGAAUUUCCAAGAAUACCCUUAUUUUUACCAAUUAAAACGUUUGGUGAGGAGGAAAAUUAAAAAAGGAAAAAAAUUCUAUUGUAUAUUCUCAGGAUUAUACAUUAUGCAACACAAUAUAUAAAUUAAGGAUGAGGAAUGAGUCGAAGAGAUAGUGUAGAUGAGAGGUUUCAGAUUUGAAAUCCUUUACUUACAUUUUAAAAAAAUAUUUUAAAAAAUAAAAAAAAUGGUAUAUAAACCAUUGCAUCUAUAGAAACACAAUUGAUGCCUUCAGAAUCUUUUUUGUUUAGUGUUAAUAAAAAACAGAAUGAGAAGAUUGUCUACCAGCAAGAGAUUCAUCUUUCUUCUUUCUUCCUUGUAAAAAAUACUAAUAUCUUGAUUGAUGUCAGGAUCUAAAUUCUCAAUUAACUCGGUUCAAUCAUUCCUUCGUGAAAAAAAAAAAAAGGUCAGUUCAAUCAUCAAAGUCGCCAUCAAAGUCGCGCUUACAUUUUGGGCUUUUUUUUAAAAAAAAAAUUUUUGCCUGCCACUUCCCAGUUUCGUUUGGAGAUCAAUCAUACAUCUUGCGGGCAAAGACUAGACAGGUAACCCAACCAAUAAAUGCUCGAAAUUAUAAGUAGAAAGUUCUAAACUCAAAAUAUUUCACUUUAAAAUAAAAAUUGUGAUAUCCAUUUACUGUGCGUGCAGUAAAGAACAUCAUAUACAGUUGCCUGAUUUUCUACAGCAUAAAGAGGCAGAUUGGAUUGUACAACAUAUUGUCCCUUAGAUUGCUUGUUAUCAUUAGGCCGAUUUAUCCGUUAACUCUCGUGCUUGUUCUAAUUGUGUGGGUGCGCGUGUUUCUUACUGUUGCAGUAAAAAAAGAGACAGAUUGGAUUGAGUCAAUGAAAUUCCAAAUUAUUUGCAGUGGAAAAAAUCUGAGUACGUUAAAAAAUCCAAAUUUGUUGCAAAGUAGUAGUAUUUUAUUCAUCUCCCAAGUUGGCCAGCUGCUGCUCAACUAAAAAGAGAGGAUGUUCCGCAGUGUACUACUACUACUACUACAGUAAAAUUUUGUCAAGAUAUAUCGCACUGUGCAUGUACCAGGAUUCAUUUUCCAUCGGGGUUAGUCGUUUUCUUUCUACCACCAUAACCCAUUCCAUCAAGAACGUGCGGAGUCACCGUUGAAUUAAUCGUGUGGUUACACCCAACAAUUUGACCCACUCAACGGGGCCGCAGCCUCCAGGGUGGACGUAUUGUAACCCACAGAAUUAUAACCAUCCCCAUAAUAUCAAUAUAUAUAUAUAUAUACACGACAACAAGAAGAAUAUCUGUAUAUACGGCUAACCCCUGUCGUAGAGUUGAUAUAUGUGUACUAACUGCUAGGGAAUAAUGUGGAACCUCUAGUAUAGUAUAGGGAUCCCAAUAAUUAAUUAAUUGACUAAUCGAACGUCGCUGCCACAUCAACCUCAUGCAUCAUACUAUACUCUUUAUUCUCAAAAAAAAAAAAAAAAAAAAACUUAAAAAGCAUGAGCAUCGCAGGUUUUCGCGCACGACAAUUCCCGAUCUCAUAUCUUAUACUAUGCAGCUUUACUCGUCAAACUCGGUGAUCAUGGGGUUUUCAGACGAAAAAAAAAAAAACUUGAUAAUCAUGGGAUUGACUAAUUAAUUGCCAAAGGAAGAUUAUUGAAUGGAGUAAUGCUUUUAUAAUCACCAUCAAUGUAUCUGCAUGACUCGGCCUUCAGGCCUAGCAGAUUCAGACCGACAAAAAUAUGUACGUAUUUAAAAGAAAACUGCGUAUUAGCUGACGAUUACUAUCAUGCUGAGAAGUAAUUAAUUUACUUUUGGUCCCAACCAUAAAUUAAACGACAGGCAUCGUCAUUCAAUCAAUAAUUUCUUCUUCCUCUGUCACUCUCACUAAUUGUGAAUUCUCUGCAGGCCAUCUGGGCAGAUAUAGCAGCCAGCUAGGUCGCGAUCAUGGCUCCUAGAAUUCCCUUCUUCAGCUCUUCUUUUGUGCAUCGUCGCCUUAAAGAUUCAGGCCCGAGCUUGUUUUUCUUCGUUCCAACAUGCUUAGCUUUUACAACUUGUGUUUUUAUUUUCUUUUACAUAAGUUCUACGUCAAAUAUACUGAGUAUCCACCUAAACGAAACUCAUCUGCACGUCAGGCCUCCAAUACAACUCUCCUCUAUUUCUUCACCCCCAAGCACUUCCUCCUCCCGGCCGGUUACGAUCAAGAUUCCACAUCAACAAGGGCAGCCGCUCGAUGCUCCUAGACUCCACUUUUUGGAGCCGGCCCAAGUGCUACUUGGUGAUGAGACGACGUCCUAUAUGUUAGUCAACGACAGUGAUUCACAAGAAGCCGCCAAUACUAGCCUUCCAGCUGAUGAUCAGUUGGCCAAAGCAACUGAAGCUUCAUCUUUGUCUGCGAAUGACGAGGAUGAAGCUCCUGAUCAGGAGGAUCAAAAUGAUCCGUUGCCUGAGCCUGAGGAGAUACGUCAACAAGGAAGACAUGAAGGUAUAUCCCCAUCCUUUUCUUCUCGUCGUUAUAUCUUUUAUUAAUUUGUUAUUUAUAUUUGUCUUUUGUGGUUCAACAUUCCUUUUAUUUUUCAUUAAGGUUAGCUAUAUAUAUACAAUUAGAUGCCGGUGGUCCAAAAAUGGGAUUUCGAUGGUGCUUUGCCUUUUUACAUUCAUUUUUCAACCAAAAACAAAAUAAAGUAUGUAAAAAGGCAAAGCACCAUCGAGAUCCCAUUUUUGAAAAAGAAUGCCUUUUUACAUACUGAUAUGAUAUCUGCUUGGGCAAAAUGGAGCCAAUAAUAAUGUACGUACGUAGUUCUCAACCCACAAAACAGAGAUGCAGUUUUCAUGGCAAAGAAUCACUUUUUCAAAUUAACAUGAGAUGUUUUUAGAGUACGACGUCUGGAUUAAAUUGUGUGCGUCGCUUUGAAAUCAUGGUACGUACGUUGCACGGUCCUUUUAUGAUCAAGAUGAUAAAAACAGUAGCUCACCAUGACGAAGUAAAUUGAUUAUCGAAUAGGAGUAUGACCAGGCAAACGAAAAAGAAGCUCAUCAUGACUUUUACCGCCUGAGAGUUGUAGCAGAAACCAAUAAGCCUGCGGUUGUUCCCGGGUCUGCGUCAGAUGAAGAAUCUUCAUUCAAGUUUUUGAAAUGUUGUUUGACAAGUCUGAAAGAGAAAGGGGGACGGCGGGGAUAAGGUCUAGAAAAAUACAUUUAGGAAUGGGAUAAUUUCAGAAACCUCCCCUGAGGUUUCCAUUAAUUACACAUAGCUCCCCUCAAAUAUUCAAAAUUACAUAUACUACCCUUACGUUUACUAUUUAGGUAACCAUGUAGGCCCAAUAACCUAGAUUCUUUUUCAAUAAUCCCAAACUACCCUUCUAUUAAAAUUGUGAAAACAAAAAGGAAACAUAAUUUAGUCAUCACCUUUCACCUAUACACUUUUGCAACCAAUCAAGCAUUCCUAACUCAAUCCCUCUCUACAGUAUGACAGAGUCCCAAAUUCACUCCAACUCAGUCCCCAAAAUUUGGGCAGUCACAAAAUCCUCAACCUCUGCUCAAAUGCUUUCAGUGCAAAUCAAUUACAACAGUCACCUCAAAUACCCAAAUGUUUCUACAAUUCAUCUAUUUCAUUCCUUGCCCAAAAUUAACCAAUCUCAAAUUCCAAACUGCAAUCGCAUUGGCUAUCAUCUUGCCAAACAUAAAACAAUAUCCUAACCUACGACCACCAAUACCAAAGAGCAAUGCUUUUACUUACCAAAGCAUAUAAUUUAGUAAUACUCCAUCAACAUCUAGGGAUCUAGACCAACUUCGAUAUCCAUAGCAAACUGUUAUCAACUAUUGCAAAUCAAUUAAAGAAACCCAAAUGCAGCUGUUAAUAUACAAGAAAAUUUAUUUUUAUGGAAGGCAAAAUUGUAUACCCCUCAUCUAGACCUCUUCCCCUUCCAACCAUCAGUUUCUUUUUUUUUUCUUUUAAAUCUAUCACUAGUAUCCUCUUCGUCUCUAUCUAUUUCGACAAUAAAAUCUACUCACCUCAAUUUAUUAUUUGGCAAUUUCAAGUCAUUAGCAUCAGCAAAGCAUAAGAAAAGUUGAAAAAUCAAAAGGUUCUAAUUACCGAGAAUGAGAGAGGCGGACAUAGCUUUGCUAUCAUUAUGGUUGGUGGGAGCAGGUUAUGUUGAAAAAUGAGAAAAGAGAUAGGACUUAAGAUAAAUGAGAGAAACGGGGAACUAUAAGUAGUUGGUGAAUCUGUGGUAAGAUGGGUAGCGGUGACAAUUUUUUUUUUUCAUUUCACUAUUUUGUUUCAACGCAUGGUAUAGAUUGUCUAUUUAAUCAAGGACAUUUUUGUCAUUUCACUGCAUCAAGGGAGGUUGGUGUAAUUUUCUAAACCUGAGGGGAGCUGUGUGAAAAUGCAAGUAACCUCAGGGGAGGUUUCUGAAACUAUCCCUUUAGGAAAAUGGAAACGUGAAUUCAUUUUGUCUUGCUGGCCCAAUACGUACCCUAUGUCGUAUUGACUAAUUCAAGUUCCUAAACGCCAGAAGUUACUCAAUUGACCAACAAAUUUCCCAAAAAAAAAAAAGAAAAAUAUUUGUGUCCAACUACCGUCUUUGUUUUUUUUUUUUUUUUUAAAUACACGCAAGAAUACAAUCCUGUCUAUAAUACUAUGCCGGCUGUUGUAAUUAAUAAUUAAUUUGGCGCUCUCAAAGAAUAUUGGGAUGCAAAAGCUUAUUUGGCUGAGGAUAAUAAUUAAGCCAGACCGGAUGGCAGUGCAUGGAUUUCUAACAUGGAUGUAGCAUUCGACAUGGAUACUAGGUUAUGGCGGAUCGAGUUUAUUUUAUAUUUACCUUAAAAUGUUUCACACCUCAAAUCAAUGCAUUUCUUCAAGGAAAAAGCCAUCGACGAAUCGAUGCUUGUUUGCUUGCAUGGUUCAGGAAAUAACGUGGAUGGAUUCGACGUAUUCCAUGACAAAGCUCUCUUCCAGCAAGAAUACAAAGAAAUGAACAAAAGCUUGAAGAUUUUUGUUUACCCUCACAAGCGAAACGAUCCUUUUGCAAACGUGCUGCUACCGGUAAAUGACGAACCGGGAGGCAACUAUGCUAGUGAAAGUUACUUCAAGAAGGCCUUAUUCAAGAGCCAUUUUAUCACGGAAAAUCCUUUGGAAGCUGAUCUGUUUUACCUCCCAUUUUCCAUUGCAAGUCUGAGGCAUGACAAGAGAGUUGGCGUGGGUGGAAUACAGGGUUUUGUCAGAGAUUAUAUUCGAGAUAUCAGCAAGAACUACCCAUAUUGGAAUAGAACAGGCGGGGCUGAUCAUUUUUACGUGGCAUGCCAUUCUGUUGGGAGAUCUGCAAUGGAGAAGGCAACUGAAGUUAAAUUGAAUGCCAUACAAGUCGUGUGCUCCUCUAGCUACUUCCUUCCUGGUUAUGUUGCUCACAAAGAUGCAUCCGUACCCCAGAUUUGGCCUAGGAAAGGAAACCCCCCUAUUCGACCACCGUCAAAAAGGUACUCAUCAUUAAUUAAAGUAUCAAUCUCAAUCAAUUAUUUUCCCUCUCAGGAUUAGCAUCAUGUUAUCGCCUUUUAGAUUUCUUAGUCACUUCAUCUCAAUUGUUGGCAGUUUCUUGGGUAAGCGUGCUUGCUAUGAUUGAUAAAAAGAAAAAAAAAAUCAGCGGAUGUAGGUCUCUUUUAUUAUCAAAAGCCUAAACACAGAUUACAAGCCAGAAACUGGACAUGGAAAAAGAAAUGGUUUUCAUUAAUUAGUCUGUAGUACUAUAAUGCUAUCUAGUCAUGAUGUCGAUGUUAAAGAAACAAAUUUCUCUGUCCAAUUAGUAUUUGGCAUUUGGGGUAUCGUUUCUCUGAUUUUCCCUUUCUUCUCGCUAAUGUUUUAACUGAUACCUACGUAGUUAAUCCAUGCUAGCCUCUCUUAUAUGUGGUAGCUCUUAAAUAGUCACCCCAUUAUCUCUUUUCUUUUCUUUUUUUUCCUGUUCCCUUAGUUCCCAGUACAGAAAUUGGCCAUGCAUCUUGAUUUUCGUGCGAAAUGGAACCUAAUAAUCUUCGAAUAUAUUGGCUGGCAUCUUCAUCAGGGAAAAACUUGCCUUUUUUGCCGGAGCAAUGAACUCCCGGGUACGCGAGUUCCUAGUGCAAGUGUGGAAAAACGACGCCGAAAUCUCAGUCCACCGAAGCAGGCUAAAAACGCCGUACUCAGAAGCACUUCUGGGGAGCAAAUUCUGCAUCCAUGCAAAAGGCUUCGAAGUCAAUACAGCUCGAAUUGGUGAUGCUCUAUAUUACGGUUGUGUCCCUGUUAUCUUGGCCGAUCACUAUGAUCUCCCAUUUGCGGAUAUAAUAAACUGGAACAGCUUUUCAGUGGUCAUGUCCACCGUGGAUAUCCCAAUUCUGAAGAAAGUACUUCUGCAAGAAAUAAACUCCAGUAAUUACUUGAAGUUACAAAGCAGCGUAAUGGAAGUGCAGAAACACUUCCAAUGGCAUGAUGUCCCCGUUGACUAUGAUGCAUUCCACAUGGUCAUGUUUGAGUUAUGGCUGCGCAGGAGUCAUCUGAGUCUUGCAAUUAAUUAGUGGCUAGCUGUAAGUCUAGUUAGUGAUCGUAGAAUUGAGAGUUUUAUCUUUACUUUUACAGUCAGAGUAAACUAGGGUUUUUGCGUAUUUUGGGAGCGUGUUUAAUUGGUGAGGUGUGUGUACUAAAUUUGGUGGGUUUUAGAUAAGAGGAAGUGUGUGAUUAGAAGUGCUAUUAAUAAGCUAGCGAAUCAUAAGUUAAAACACAAGUACGAGCGGGUCACACAUACACCACCGUAGUUAUACUAGCAGUUGAUUGAGGAGGAUAAAAUUGUUCUUCGAUGGGGGAGUUCGCUACUUCUUUUCAUGUAUAGUACAGAAAUACAAGCUGUAUAUUCAUCCAUUUGUUUUAAAUAAUGCAAGUUAAUUAUUGAUGAAACAAUGAUCCGCGAUGGGCAGAUUAAUGUACUUUGAAACAAUAAAUCACGUUUGAAUAGCGGGACAAUAAAUAAUUUGCUUGGCUACCCAGUGCCUAUUGGACACCACUUGAGAUCCUCGGUGACAUGUUUUCUAUGCCAACCCAAUGCCACCAAUAGUGUUGUGCCAAGUGUCUUGUUAUUAUUUACACUUUAAUUUUCUAAUAAUUCAACUUGGCUUGGUUUAAUACAAGUUUAAAUAAUAACAUGACACUUGGCACAACACUAUUAAUGGCAUUGGAUUGGCAUAGAAAACAUAUCACCGAGGAUCCCAAGUGAUUGGACACUAGAUAAGCGGGAGUUUAGGUAUUGGUUUCUUGAAAAAGUGUAGUUAAUUUGGGAAAGUUUUACAAUUCUUGGGGUGCAAUAAGUAUAAGUGUGUACUUUUAUAUAUAGUAACUUAGGUGUGAUUCAGGUGUCUUAAUGAGUGCUUAGGAAAAAUAAUCCAUAAAUGAUAGGCAAGUGCCUAGUGCCCACUCGUUAGUUAAGCUGUAGUUUAGGUCUUAAAUAUAACUGUAUAAAUGCAAGAAACAAUAACGAUUGUUAAUAAAUAUAUUCAUCUAGUAAGUUGUGUGUGAUUUAAUGUAACGAGUGCCCAUUCAGCCCAGUUUAAAAAACUGUUUACGUAUGCCUCAUGAAUAGGAAAUCACUACAUAAUUAGCCCUCAAUUAAUCUUGAAGAUUAAUUACUGGAAUGGGGAGUUGGAAACGGAAGUAGCAAUACAGGUAUUUGGCACUAUGUCUUAACAUGUCCAUUGGGCCAGCAGUUCCCCUCCCUUGCCUAACCGUAUAAUUUUUUUUUUUAAAUUUAGGAAUAUUCCAACCUUUUUGUCGGACUAAUCCCUUAAAGAUUGUGUAGAGUCUUACCUCAAAAAUAUAUAGCGAAGAAUAUACAAGUCGGUCACGGACCUGUUUAUAACUAUUAGGUUAUGGAACCUAUCGAAUUACUGGCGGGGCUUGCCUAAUCGUAUAAUUGUUUGCUCCAAAAUUGCAACAAGAAAAUCUGAUCAGAAUUGGAGAAUCGGCAUACACGAUAUAACAUGUCCAUUGGGCCAGAAUUUCUCUGCUAAAAGACUAUGGUACAAAUACUCCUAUAGACUGCAAUUGCAUACAUGGGUGUGAUCUUUUCCCUUGAGCAAAAUUUUAUGCAAUUGUUCCGACAAAGAAACUGGUGGGAAUUCCCACCACUUCAUGGAAUUUGGCAACAUGUUUUAACAACACCAACUACCUCAUUAAAGGCACAAUUCUCGUUCUUAAAUGGAAAAUAAAUGUACAAAAGAAAGAGCUUUCGAUUGCUACUCAGUUUUGACUGUAGCAUCCCUCUUUCUCUCAUUUCGAACCUUUGGGGGAAGAAAUUAAGACCAACUAACCCUGUCCGCGAAUUCCUUAUGGCUUCUUCCGUUUUCUUGUACGCUAUCAUCUGCUGUAAUCGUACUAAUUUACUCUCACCCAAGGCCAUUUUCUGCAUACCCACAUUAUUAGCCUUAUUCACCACUACUUGUAUUCUCUUCUAUAUCUGCUCCACUUCCAAUUAUCUCUUGGUUUUUCCAUCUCAAACCCAUGUUCGUGUCAAACAAUCUUCAGCAACUGGGAUGCUCUCUAUCUCAAGCUCAACUUCUCGGAAUCAAAGACAGACCAAGUUAUCCGCACCUGGGGCAUUUUCCAACUCAACAGGAGUUACAGGACUGGUCAACUUAUCUGUUGUCGGGCUUCCAACCCCAUUUGAGUACCGGAAAAUUUCUCAUUUUGCCGUGGAUGAUGCUCUGGAAAAUACUAGGCUAGGGAAAUCCGAAAUGAUAUCAAGUGGUGAGUAAAGUGAUGAUUUUUUUUUUUUUUUUUUGGAUUAAAAAGUUUACUAUUUGAAUUGUGGCUUGUGGGCUUAAGGACUUUUCUCUAGUUUGUUUCUUUUGCUGGAUACGAAGUUAAAAGGAAAAAACUUAUGGAUAGUUUUGCCAUAUGAAUUUUGUCAGGUUUUGUUGAUUUUGAAGCAUAAAGAAAUAUUGAACUAUUUAUUCCCUUUCCAGAUGUACAGAAGAAACAGAGCAAACCGGAAGAGCAACUUCUAAAUAAGAAUAAAGAUGCUAUGCAAAAGAAAUCAUCUCAAGUUAUUUAUCGCUGCUCCAAUUAUAUAAUCUCAAAUUGAGUGAGUUUUCUUGAGAAAUAUGGAGAGGAAGAAAUAAAGGAGAGGACAUGAUUGAAAUGAGGACGCUUGGAUAAGAUGAGGCGACCAAUAAUGGGGAGAGAGUUAGGCAAGGAACAACCUGAAGGUGGGCUCUGCUCUACACUGUCUGAGUUGGGAAAAAAAAAGGUGCUCAGAGAGAGAGAGAGAGAGAGAGAGAGAGAGUUUCUAUAAGGGUUUGAUUGAAAAUAUGGCCCCAAAAUGUUCAUUGUGUAAUGUUUUUUGGGCUGUUACAUUUGAUUUCUAUCAUAGGGAAGUUUAAGGAUGAGCUCUAGUUUGAUACUAUUGCCUAAGCAAUUGCAAUAUGGGUAGGGGGGAAAGGGGAACUUCUAGCAAUAUAUCAUCUUUAGAGGUGAUGAAUUUUAGUCCAUUAUUACAAUGGAGUAGACCCUGCUAUGAUUUUAUAUUUUCCACGAUAUGAGAAACAGACACAAGCCCAUUGGUAUCUGUAAACGUUGUAUGAUUUAUCUUGUUGAAUACAAUUUUGAUAUCACAGACAAAAAGAGCCCUGGUAGAUUUCUAGUAUACUUCUCUUUGAUCUUGUGUCUUAUGCUGAAACCAUCGAUAGUAGAGAUUUUUUUUUUCUAUUGUGUUAUAAUGAAAAAAGAGAACCAAAAUAAGAAAUUGCAACAAGCAAACAAAGUUCCAUGGGGUAAGAGAGGAUGAUUAUGACAAAAAUGGUGUACAGCCAUAAAAUUUACCAAGGUCUGUUGACUCUUGCUAAGUUUUGUGCAAUAAUUAGUUCUUAACGUGAACACGUGGAAAUCUUGGUUUUAUGUUCAGGAAACUAUGUGAAUAACGAGGUGUUCCAUGACAGAGAUUUCUUUGUGGGGAACUAUGGGCAAAUGAACAGGAGUUUGAAGAUAUACGUCUAUUCUCACAGAAGUGACGAUCCUUUUGCUAAUAUCCUGUUGCCUGUGAAUUUUGAACCUGGGGGUAAUUAUGCCAGUGAGAGCUAUUUCAAGAAGGUUCUUAUGAUCAGCCAUUUCAUUACAAAGGAUCCUUCCAAAGCUGAUCUCUUUUUUCUGCCCUUCUCGAUUGCAAGAUUGAGGCAUGAUCCAAGAGUUGGGAUUCGUGGCAUCCAAGACUUCAUCAGAAACUAUAUAUCUAACAUCAGUCAUGAGUACCCUUACUGGAAUCGAAGUGGAGGUGCUGACCAUUUUUAUGUUGCUUGUCAUUCUGUUGGACGGUCUGCCAUGGAGAAAACGAUUGAAGUUAAGCUCAAUGCCAUCCAAGUUGUAUGCUCUUCCAGCUACUACGUAUCAGCUUAUGUUCCCCACAAAGAUGCAUCCUUGCCGCAGAUUUGGCCAAGGCAAGGCGAUAAUCCUGAUCUUGCAUCAUAUGAAAGGUGAGCAAAACAUUUAAUUACCUUAGUUCAUUUCAGUGGAUGUGUUUCAGUAGAGUUAUCCUGGCUUUAUUUCUAGUGUCUGAUAUCUGGAGAUCUUGACGUAUACAGGCAUGAUAAUCUCCGAAGUGUAAAUUUGCCAAAUAAACCUGUUCCAAUAGCCGAGUAGAACUUAGAAUCCAUCUAUACGAAACAAUCACAUAAAGCAUGAAACAAAAGGAAAUUGUAGAUAUUUGAAUUUGUAAGUGUCUGAAAUGAGUUUGCUUAGUGGGAGCUUAUUGUGUUUCUUUGAUAUUUUAUUAUAUGACACAUUUCUUUUGCAAAAGUUUUCAACUGUCAUCAUUCUUCUGGCUUCAUGAAUAAGAAUGAAUUUCAGGAGAACGCUGGUGUUUUUUUCUGGAUCAUUAAACUCCCCUGUGCGGGAAAAUCUUCUUCGAGUAUGGGGAAACGAUACAGAGAUUUCUGUCCACACUGGUCACCUUGAAAAACCUUACACAGAGGAGCUUCUAAGCAGCAAAUUCUGCCUUCAUGUUAAAGGCUUCGAGGUGAACACGGCUCGUAUCAGUGACGCACUAUACUAUGGGUGCGUCCCAGUGAUAAUUGCCAACCAUUAUGAUCUUCCUUUUGCUGACGUACUGAAUUGGAAGAGCUUCUCUGUUGUUGUUGCCACUUUGGAUAUACCAAAACUGAAGAAGAUUCUCCAAGGCAUAAGUACUGAUGAAUAUCUUGUCCUGAAAAACAAUGUCAUCAAUGCUAGAAAACAUUUCCAUUGGCAUCUUCCACCCUUUGAUUAUGAUGCAUUUUACAUGGUCAUGCAUGAGCUAUGGCUCAGACGAAGUUCCUUGAGGGUUUCCGGGUGAUUUUUAGUAAAUGAAGCGGUUAAAUACUUUGUUUUGCAACCGAGUCUGGUUAGUUUAGUUAUCUGGUGCUUGCAGUCCCUUGCUUCUGUUCAUUCACUUGCUUCUGUUCACAUGUAAAGCUAAUCUUCAUUAUAUUCGUCGACUUUGUUAACCUCUAAUCCAUCAAUCCCCAGAAUUGCAAGUACCAAAUCCACAUUACCUUUCUUAGUACCAUUAGAAAAUUGCUUUUUUCUUGAAUUGGAUGGACAUUCUGGAUGGACAAGAGAGGGGUCAAUACUUUAUUUAUGGCUUUCCCUCUUUCAUUGUAAAACUUCAGGAAUCAGCAUUAUACGUGCAGCGCUUUUCUGGUAAUAACUUGGAUCGGAACCAAUUUGAUAUAUUAUAAUAGGGAAAUUAUCUAAGGAAAUGGCACUCCGUCAUUUCAUAAUUAUACUCGGUUAUCUUCUUUUUCACUGAAAGUGAAUAUAUGAUUGAAAAAAAAAAGGUAACGAGUCUUUCAUUAUAAAAAAGAGAGCGCUCUUAACUAUUGUCAUCAUCAAUUGGUGUUAUGUUUUGGUUGAAAUUUGCGGAGAGAACUCUAGUUCACUUCUUUUUUUUUUUUUUUUUUUUUUUUGCAACAAUAACAUUCUUACAACUAAAUCUAUCCUAAUCUAAGUGGAGGGGGAGCCGAUGCGAGUAGAAAUUCCACAUAUAAUGGCAAUUUGAUGAAUCAUUGACCUCCCAACACCGUCAAGACUUGAAUGCUUGCUGUGACCACCUAAUUUACAAGUUGGCAUUUUACUGACGUAUGUUCCUGUCAAAUUGAAAUUAAUUAAUAUAUUACAUAAGAAGCAUGUCAUUUAUCUCUUUUUCUUCUUUUUUGUGUCAAAGAAAAACAAAAUGCUCCUUAUUCAAAAAUGUUUUAAUUAAUUUCACGGGAGCAUUUGGUUUAGAAUAGGGCUGCAAACGAAUCGAACCGCUCGCGAGCGGCUUGAGGCAAGCUUGAGUCGAGUUCGAUAUUAAUCGAACUCGAGCGGGCUCAAGUCAAACUCGAGCUCAGAAUAUUAAGCUCGUUAAGCUCGCGAGCUUGAGUAUAUAUAUAUAUAUAUUUUUUAUUUAAUAAUAAAAUUAUGUAUAUUAUAUAUAUAUAUAUAUUUAUAGUAAAAUUACGUAUAUAUCCUUAAUAUUUUAUUAUUUAUUAAAAAAAUAUUAUUUUAUUUAUUUUUUUAAAAAUAAAAUAAUUAUUUUUUAUUUUUUUCGAGCUCGAGCUCGGCUCGACUUGAUUCGAGUCGAGCUCGAGCUUGAAAAUUGCCAGCUCGUCGAGCUCGAGCUUGAUAAAAUUUAGUCGAAACUCGGCUCGAUUAGCUCAAAACUCGACUCGACUCGACUCGUUUGCAGCCCUAAGUUUAAAUAACCUGGAAGUACGAUAUCCAAUACUAGGAUUUUGGCCUACCGUACACUUUAGGUUUUAAUUAAUUUGAAAUCCAAAUCACAUUGGAGAACAAGUUCUUAGCAAUAAUAGCUAUAUGUGAUAAACUGACGAGUGCCUUUUCCAUGUAAAAUGUCAAUCCAUAGCACGAUAGAUAAGAUAUAUAUAUAUAUAUAUAUAUAUAUAUAUAUAUUGCGUGUCAUGAAUAAAUAUAUAGCUCCAAAUAUUACAGAAACCAGGCUGAUGUAUAUCAAUGGAUCCGUAAAGAAAACAAUUACUCGUCUGAGAUGAAAAUUACACUCAAGAAUGGAGCAGGCAAGCCCAGACUCCAACAGCUCGAGAAUAGAAUAUUAGUAUAAUACAAAAAAUAUGUAUAUAUAUAUCUUUUCCCUCGUAUCUUUAUACAUUUCCCAUAGAGGAGGAGUAGAAAAAUCUAAGCACCCUUGUUGUUGUUCUGCCACGGCUUAAGCACUCCCACGACUAUGAUUGCGACAAUUAUGAGAAGGAUGAGGAUUGCAAUGCACAUCCAUUUCCUGGAAUUCCUUUGCAGUGUCUUCGCUUUUUGAAGGGCCACAUUUCCACUCUGCACAUGGUCUACCGCGUUCGAAACCUGAAAAUUGAUAGGAGACAAAGUCAACGGAUUCAAAUGCAAAGACAACUGUGGUUGACAUCAAAUCCUUCUUGUUGCCCGGAGAAGCAGGGAAAGGAUCUGCAAUCUUACAUGUGUCUCUAUGUUAUCAAGCAAGUCCCCUUGAGCAUCUACUAAAACUGCCAUGUCUAAGAAUAUCUGCACGAGAUUAUUUGCUGAACUAAGGAAUCAAGUCCGAUAAAAAUGAGUUCGCACUAAUUAAGUAAUCAAGCCAAUGUGAUUUUGACUUCGAAAAUUAUAUCAAUAAGACUAACAUGCUCUGUAUUUACAAGUCAAUACUACCUGUUGCAAUUCAAGAAGUUUCCUCUCCAAUUCUCUAACAGCAUCAUGACGUUCUUGAAUUUCUGCUAGCGUGUCCAUGAUCUGCAAGAAAAAAACACAAAGAGCUAAAGCAUGAUUGAUAUGUGUUGUUGCAACAACACCAAGUGCAACAGAGACUUGUUUCUUGUCAAAGAUGCACGACAAAAGCCCGGAGAGGAUAAAUUAAGACCAAUAAUUUCCCCGAUAGAAGCCUUUUACACGUUACACAGUUAUUACCCAAAUAUGUUCCGUGUGCAUCUGAUAUGAAAAUAUUUCAAGAAACACAAGCAGAAUAACAGACAGGCGUAGGAAGGUGAAGAAAUAAGCUACAACAGAAGUGGAGCAAACCUGCCCACGUCCUUGAUCCUGAACUGCUUUCUGGAAGAUUUGUUCGCUAUCCCCAGUCUCUAUAAGUUUAUCGAUAGUCUGAAGAAGUAGGGAAAAGAAUUAAGAUCAGAAAUAUACACAGAGAGAUUCAACAUGGUUCAAAGCACAGAAUAUCAGGCCCUAACCUCUUCGUCUGCUCGAUUUCCAGUAACUGGCAACCAAAACAUGAAAGAGAAAACUAUUUUAGUUAGUUAUAACAUUAUCAGAUUUUGCAGUUGGUUUUCUAUGUACAAUAAGCAAGGGCCAAAAACCUGUAAAUACACGUCUUUCUACGACCUCACGAUGCUCUUGAUGGAUGCUCUCUCUCAAAUUCUGCAAUGAUCAAAGCAUAGUUAAUCUACAAACAAAAGAACAUAAAUGAGAAGAUGUCCUUUGUAACGUCAUCAAUCAGAUCAAGCUACCUGAAACUCAGUCAUCUUGUCUUUGAACUUCUUUUUCAAUGAACUGCAAUCAGAUAAAAUCAUUUUAGACUUAAAAUCUAGUUGAAACUAUCUUACUAUAUGAAGGCUGAUCCCUCUCUACACUCAUCACUAUUUAGCAAAACUUCAUGAGACUAUCAAAAUUAUACAAAUCUCCAUAAUUUGUGGUUUCCAGUAUCAUAGGAUGUGGUAUAAACCAAAUUACCCCUGUUAUAACCGCAAUGAUUCCCUUUUCUCUUUUGUUUCAUUGUGAAUAGUAGGAUAAUUCAGAAUCCCACCAGAAGUUCUUGACCAGGCGAGGAAUUAUGGACUUCAUUAGUGGCAGAAGAUGAUGAUGGUUUGACGUGUCAUGGAAUUUGUAUGCAGUUCAUCAUAAUUUCAGAAACCAUGAUGGAAGGCUUUGUAGCAGUGGCAAACCUUAGGUGUGUCAGUGUAAUUUGCACAGCAAUUUAUAUACCCAAGUGCAAAUUAGAAUGAGAAUGCAGAAAAGAAUAGUCUAAUCUCCAUGCUCGGACAGGAACAGAAGAAAGUUAAACUGAACCAAGCUUUAAAAUUAUACACAGAUAUGAAAGAUAUUUAAAACUUAGAAGCACAAAUUUCUAUUUCUCAACAGAUUAUUUAACACUUAACAGUUACAAAGUACCUUUCUUCAUUCUUUGGGAAUGUUUCAUGCUUGCAGAUACUAUGUACUUAUGGUAUAUUCAGUUCUAACUGCCAUUGUAAAUUUCAAUAAUGCUAGUUCUUACUAUUACCUCAAGCAUCCCAGCUUGUUAUCCUAAAACUACUGUCAACAUUAUUUGCUAGUGGAUAUCUCACCAUAGCCUCGUCUUGGUUUCAUUUUAAAUACACUAAAAAAAUAAAAUGUUAUAUCCCCUUAAAUAGAAAUAUUUCUGUGUUGAUUAGACCUAUUUUGAAAGUAAAAACGUGCAGAUACUCAAUUAUAACACCUUCUUUUAUAGGACAAUUACCAACCAGAAUGGUCACUGAGGAUUACCAACUUAAAAUAUGUUAUGCUAUGUGUCCUGCAUGAACAUCAAUUCCACCCAAAGAUCAGUUAUGCUUAGUCUACUACAUCUGGCUCUUAUGGAACAAUAACAGAGAUCAUUCAAAGUGGGUUAAAAAAUGUCUAAAUAACAAACUAAUUUCAAACAACAGAUUAUCAUGUUGGCUAAAAGUAAAUAGAUGUGUCAAAUGUCAUCUAAAUUACACUGUUGUCGCUGUUCUUGAUCUAUCAACAGCGGACCCUUUUCCACAUCCAGGUUUCUGUCUAUUGGAUAAAUUCUGCAUAGAAGAGGAAAGGGUGUCAGUGCAAAUAAUCUUACAUACUGCAAGCUUGCUAGAAUAUGUAACUACAGCCCUUACUUCUCUGUCCAGUUCCUCAAUUUUUGAUUUGAUAACACGAGUAAUUUUCCCAACUUCAUCAACAUCCUUCUCCAUCCGCUGCUUGAUUGCUGCAGAUUAUGACAGGAAAAAUUUACAAUAAACAGCUUAUCUAAAAUGCAGUGUCAUCACAAGAUAGAAAUAGUAUGUGCUGAUGCACAGUUCAAUACUUUUACGUACAGAACAGAGUUAUUUGAGUCUACCAAUGUUGUACGCCUAGUUUGAGACAAAAUAUUCAGAUAUAGUUCUUAACUGGAAAAGUUCCAUACUUCCAAGCCAAGAUUAAGGCUCAAGGCUAGUUUAAGUAGUUAAUAUUUAUGUAGAUAAUUUACACGCAGUUUGACCAGAUAAUUUCAAAACCUACGCAACUUGUGAUAUUGAAUAAGACAUACUGAAGUUUCCAGCUCAAUGCUCUCGCUCUGUAUCUGUAUAACAAUUUAAUGCCUAAGACCAUUCAUAGCUCUACAUUGAAGAACAAUCAUCUACAUUCAAUCAAUGUCAGUAACAGGCAAAAUAUUUCCAAUAAUCAUGAUAAUUCUGCCCAUGCAACUAGCUAACCAAGCAUAUCCUAGUCAUACUGCACGCAUUAAACAGAAAUAGAGGAGGAGUUAAUUGCCUUUCAUAGCAGAGGCCUUGGUUACAGCCUUUGACUCCUCAUGAGCAUCCUGCAGACAACAGUAGACAUUCAGGUAAGCAGACAAAGAUGGUAACACAUAACUCACCUCUGAACUCAUCAAGUAGGAUUAAGAUUAACAAAAUCCUUGACAUGGUACAGUAAGUGGUAAGAGUAAAAAAAAUUCACUAUGGCAUGAAAAAUUCUCCUUAUCCAGAAAAGAAAUGGGUGAAUUUGUCAAAUCUGGUAAAUUAAGCAAAUAAAUGAUCUUUUUUCUCCACUCACUUUUUGAGGAGCAACAAUUUCAGGGGUAAAGGUUGGAAGUUGAUUAGUUUAACCUUCUAUCACCAUUGUCAUCGUGCACAAAGGAAGCAAUUAAUUGUCACAAUGCAUUGAAGUAUGAUGAAAAAAAUACAAGGACGAAAAGGACAACGAUCCAUUGAAAUUGAUUUGUUCAACAUUCAGAAGGGGAAAUAUGGGCAAGGAUAAAAUAGAAGGAAAAAAAAAAGAGAUGUAGGAGAGGAAACAAUAUCCAUACCUGAAGUUUUUUAAGUAGCUUAUUCAAUUUCUCAUAUUGGUUCUCAAUCUCUUGCACCUAGAGACACAGUAAGAAAAGUUAGAAAUGAUUACUGUAGCAUUGCAAGCAAAAAACAAGCAGAAGAUGAACUGUUUUACCCCAUCAAAAAGGAACAACAAUAACAUCAACAAUGUGAAUUCACCUUUUUAAAAAAAUUGUCCAGGCCUAGUUCUCCUGAAUUCAUUGGUUGCUGGGUUCCCAUUUCGAUAUCCCCAUUUCGAGAAGUUUCCUCCCGAGGGAUGACAAAAGAAUCCUGCAAAAAGAAAUAGAAGAAGCAUUCCUGUAAACGGUGACAAGAAUAAAAAAGGGAACAGCUAAUGGCUUCUCAGAGAAUCCUUGGCCAGAAACAUGCUACAAAGAUGAGCAUAUAAGCUUCACUUUUAAAAUAUUUUAAGUUUCUCAAAAUGGAAAUUAAGAGUUAACUGGAAUGCACUUAUUCUUGUUAUACACAAGGACAGUAAGUUCCUAUAGAGAGUUUGCAAGCAAUGAAUACUGCUUGAUUAAUACAAACUUCAGAAAGUGUGAAUUUUGCAUCCAGUUCCAACCACCAAGCACACCAAAAGUAGAGUACCAAGGACUGUAGGCAGAAGAACAAAGUCCAUGACGAUGCAACCUCGUAAUUCCCAUCUAAAUACAAACAUCUGAAUGCAAUUGAGAACAAUAAAUAGAUAAAACCAAAAAUAAAAAAUAAAAAAAAAGCUCAUUGCUUUGCUAGGGCUUUUACGGAUUUUUAGCACCCUCAAGUUUAUUCGUUUAUCCUUCUUGCAUAGCCAACACAAUUUCUGCCUGAGCUUUAGCUCAUAAUGAAGGCCAAUACUGUCACGGAUCUCCCUGUUCAUUCUGUUUAAAUUUCUUAUAAACCCAGUCCUGUGUUUAAAUAGCUUCAAAAAGCCGAUCCAAAAAAAUAAUAAUAAUAAAGAGAGAGAGAGCAAUUUUUUAUCUCGGACGAAAUCUUGAUCUCCCAAAAGUUUUCUUCAGCUAGCGCCAACUACUCCGGGUUGCAUUUCAUUACUUCAAGAUGUAAACACACACAGAUACACGCAAAGCUACGUACAUUGAUACACAAACAAGCACAAAAGGUGAAAUCUUUUUUUCAACACUCCUUGUUCCCGAGUUUGUCAAAUUUAAUGAUUUCAACCGUUAACACUAGCAAUGAACUAGCUAAGAUAGAUGCCAUAAAUUUUCAGAAUCAGAACAGAAACAAGACAAAUUGAAACAGGAGGAACGAUUAGAAAAAAAUGUGGAAAUUACCGUUAAGAGAUCGUUCAUGUUGGAAGCCGAUUAAUAACAAUGCCGUGAAAACUUCAGAGAUGAAACGAUUAAAAAAGAACAAAAACGAAAAAAAAAAAAAAAGAAAGAAAGAAAGAGAAGGAGAUCUCCCUCCCUCUGUGAUUUCCCUCCUCUCUUUGGUGAGGAAGAGAGAGAAACCAAGAGAAAGCAAGAGAGAGAGAGAGAGAGAGAGAGAGAGAGCUCUUUUAUUUUAUGUUUUGGGUUGAACUCAGAACCAGCAUUCCCAUUGAAGGAGCGUGAAGACAGCUUCCUCUCAUUUCCCCCACUACUCUCUUCUUCCAUUUUUCUUUUUUCACAUUUAUACUUGCGUCAAUAUAAUUAAUUAAAUUAAUGGGCUGAUUACUCUUCUAAAUUAAAAUUUUCCUUAACUUAUGAGAAGUUAGUAUUUUGCUUAUACGCAGUCCGAAAUUUUAAUCAGAUAUUAAUUGCUUUUGAUAAUGCAGCAAGUUAUUUGAAAAGUAAAUAUCCCCUUUAUAAUUUAUACUCUUUUUUUUUUUUUUACUUCAUGAAAAUUUGAAUAUUUAGAUUUUGUAGAUCUUUUUUUUUUUUUUUUAGGGAUUUAAGGAAACUUUUGAAAUUUCAAGUGAUAACGAGACCACCACGUGAAUAUCCAAUGAAUUGGUACAAAAGUGGUAAGAUAAAAGGAAUCAUCACAUUCUUUCACCAAUUUUAUCAACUUGAAAUUUCGCUCUUUGUUAUGGAGCUUCUCAUAAAUUUGAUAAAAUUGACAGCAAAGCUUGUUAUGUUAAGCAGAAAAAGAAAAAAUAUAAUCAAAUGAUGACAAUUAAGUCAUGGUAACAUGGGAGGCAAAAUGAACAUUAUUGACCUGUUGUGUUUUUAUUCCUCGAUGAUUUAUUAGUUUAUUAUUGUUACUCCGUUAUUAUUGUUGUGAUUUGGAUGGAUCUUCAGAGCCUGCCAUUAAUUAUUAUUUGUCCUCACUCAAGAUUUUGCAAACUCCACCGCAUGCUGUCCAGCUGCAAUCUUUACCAAGUAGUAUAGUGUGUGUUUUUUAAAGAUUAUUCGGCCUUGUUUGGAAUCCAAGUUUUUUGUCAAGUUUAUCUGCUACAAGUUUUUUAAAAAUUUUAACUACAGUAACUUCAAAUAUUUUCUCAAAAAUUUUAAACUAUACACUUCAAAAUAUUAAAAAAUCUACACAUUUCAAAAAAAAUUUUAAAAACAUCUACAGUAAAAUUUUAGACAAACUCUUAAAAAACUUACCUUCCAAACAGGGAACAUCAAUUCAACUUUUUGAUUGAUUGGUCUUCAAACUUUCGCAAGUGUGGACGUUUUGUCUCAAUUGCAAUUUUUUUCUUUUUUCUUUUUUUUUUAAACCUUAAAGAUCAAGAAUCAGGUAGUGACUUAUCAAGUUAGAUUCAGCAAAACAAACUUGAAGCAAUUGUGGGUUGGUUUACAGUCCACUGAAAGUUGUGAACAAUUGGGAGAAACUCCAAGUAAAUUUGCUCUUGGAAUCUUCAACUUGGGAACAAAUGGUGCUGGGUCUGGUCCGGCACCUAACAUACUUCUCGAAUCAGAAACAACUCAUUCGAGUUGCCGCUCCCAAAUGCUCGGCAUUUUUUUUUAAAAUUUUUCUACUUUAUAAGAAGAAACGCUGGGCCCAGAAUCUGGCCUGUACGGGCCUCUUUAAUGUGUUUUUUUGUGAGACAGACAUACGGGCCUCUUUAAUCCUCUGCCUGUUAAUGGGUUUUUUUUUUUGUUGCAACAAUAACAAUUAUAUAAAAUACACUAAUCUAUUCUUAUAUGAGAAAGGAGAGUCGAUGAAAAUUCCGUAAAAAAAAAAGCCACUCAAAUGUGACAAUCACAAUUAAAUAGUAAUUUUUGAUAAAAAAAAAAAUUAGGAUUGAACCCUUGAAGGCUUAUAAGUCUUGGGUUACCAACGGACCAAGAGGUUGUUGGCUCUGCCUGUUAAUGUGCUGCGAUAGCAGAUUUCGAGAAAGUAAAACUAGUGCUGUUGCGACAUGGAUUUGGGGCUGGAACGGUUGUCAGAGCAACUGUUCCGAAAGGUGUAACAUCAUUUGCACACGAUGUAACAUCAUGUGUAUAAGGUGUAAUAAUAGAACAACAGCGAAUAACACUAGAACAACAUUUUUGUGGAUCCCACACGACGUGAAAAUCGAGUUACAAAGGAGUGAUCUGAGUCACACAAAUUUUUUUGAUCUAAUCAUGACCGUGAAACUUUCGAAACGGUUGUUUCUGACAAUCGUUCCAGCCCCUCCUCCUCCUCCUCCGUUGGGACAUAGGCUGUCAACAAACACUGGGCCGAGACAGUACCUUUUGUUUGUCAGACAGAUAUCUGGUGACAGUCCUAGAAACCCUUCCUUGCCCAGUUUGUUAUCUCCACCCGUCAUCAAAAGCAAUUCCUUGAAGCAUAGAUAUAUGGACAUCAUCGGUAUUCAGGUAGAAAAAGUUACCACUAACUGAACAAAACGUUUCUGCUUGACGUUGUCUCAGCUCGAAUACUCCGUGCUUUGUAAACAACCACGUUAAAGAUUUUUUUUUUUUUUUUUAAAUCCAGCAUGUAAUUUAUUUUUUGGUUAAGGCAUGAAGAAGUUCUCUCGAGUCCAUUCAUUUCGAGGCUUGGUUUUUGAACUAGCCAGCCCUUCAUAUAUAUUGAAUAAAUGGGCGAGCAAAGCCUCAAAUUUUGUAUAGCGUGCAAUUGCUAGAUCAGACUCCCUAGAGGGUCGAGUUGGGCUAUUUCGAGCCUGAAAUUCUUGCUAAACACGAAAACAACCUCCCCGAUUUUAAUUCCUAUGCCUAAAUUACUGAGGGUGGAAGUUUAAUAAUAAAUGAACAAGGAGGUUGGAUUAAGUUUUCUCAUCCCUCCUCCUAAUGCCAACUCCUACCCUCACUAAUUUAGACAUCGGAGUUGAAUCGGGAGAUAAAUCCCAUCUUUGUUUUCGUGUUUUGCAGGGACUUUAACCCCAAAACAGCCGAAUUCGACCCCCUGGAAAGUCUUAUCUAGCAAUUGCACAUACAGCAGCCCCAGAGUUAGAGCCUCUCAACGACGCAUUAGUCCUGAAGUUCAAACAGUACAGAACAGGAUAUUAAAGAGAAAAACAAAAAAGAAAAAAGGGGGGGAUGCUGAAUUUGGGCUCUACCGCGGAAGUGACAGAAGAAGAGGGUCGAGUUGGGUUUUCAGAAAAUGAGUUCCUUAGUGUGCAAGCAGUCUGUGAUUCCCCAACUAACGCAACCCAUCGCAAUUUAAUUUAGGAGCUUUGAAUUCACACACACGACAGCCUUAAUCCCAAAUUACUCUAAUCAGAUUUUGGGCCCCGCUGGAGCUCCCCACUUCACUCCUACAGCACCCAUGACCCACCCAUGUCAUCUCAUGUCUGCCAUCCCUUGUUACGCUCUUCACGCGGUGACCUUUCCAUAGACUACCACAAUUACCAAUUUACCACCAUCCCAGCCCACGCCCCUCCUCUUUCUCUCUUUUUCCCUUCAGUUUUUAUCUGGUGCGGGUGAUCUCGCUAGAUUUGCUUUUUCUUCUACCUUGCCUAUAAAUAAUAUGAUUGACCCUCGACAGAGAGCCCCCAAACAGAAGUAGAAUUAUACACAUAUUCCAGAAUCCAGGAGAACCACCUUCCCCUGUGUACGCAAAAAUUCUUCCUAUCUUCCCAGCUGCAUCAAUUGAUCCCAGGUUUGUGUGUGUGUGUGUGUUUUUUUUUUUGCUUUAUUUAAUUGGUUCAAGCUGAUAACGCAAACUCAAUAUCCAUGUUUAGACUACCUGUCCAUGGUCGGUACUUGGAUAUAGCGUUUGUUCGUGUCAUUCAUGCGAUGAUCUUUAUCCGAAUUUCGCUGGUUUUGAAUAUUUUGUCACUUUGAUGCUCCUGCUUUUUGGUUGAUUAUCGCUAUGAUGUUAUUGGGAAUUAGUUCUUUGUGAAAAUGAAGAGUUUUAUGUUUGAGAUGGCAUGUGAUCUCUACCUUUUCUCAUUUUGUUGUUUCUAUUAUAGCUAAUGCAUCGAGGGUCGAGGGGAUGUUUGAUGGUUGCUAUGAAUUAUGAUGAGCUACGUGAAGAGGUUCGGGAUUGGAUGGAAACAGGGGAGGGUGCUUUCGGAUGCAAUAAUCAUUGACAUAUAAAUUCGCUCACCCUUCGUGGUCUCUGGGAAGAAAAUUUACCUGCUUUACUUAUUUUGUAAGCAGUUUUUGUCGGUAGAGGUAGAGAAAUAGGAAGCAACUUAGGAGAGGGUGAUCGUAACUUGAUAUAUAUGAGGCAAUUUUCGUAGUACCGAUUGAUAUGGCUACAUUCAGGUUUCUCUGUUUUCAGCUGUUUUUGCUUUUUGCUUUUUCCCAUUUCUCCAAUAAAGUCUAGAAGAUGAUCAUCGUCUCAAAACAUCAGUGGAAGUCUGGUUUUACACAAUUUAGUUUUUGACGGUACAAGUUCCAGCGCUUGUGCAAUUUUAUUUGUGUUUGUAUAUCUGCCUUUUUGCUUCAUUUCUCUUAGUAGUUCUCGCGAUCAAAUUGAUUGAGUUGGAAACGCUAACACAGAUCUCCACAAUUUUUCGAUUUUCUCAGAUACUUUGACCUACGAGAGAAAAGUUCACUGGUUGGACUGGCUACAAUACCCAAGAUGGAAGACAAAUCUUAUGUCGUUGAUGAAGGCAUAGAAAAGUUGGAGAAGGAACAAGUUCAGCUGAAGGUUGAGAGCAAGAUUAAAACAUCUGACAAAGCAGAAGAGAAGACAGACGGAGAAGUGGUAUGUAAGUCCAAAUCAUUGGAAAAAGAUGGAAAGGAGCUGAAGAAGAAAGGAGACGAUGAAAAUGAUAAGGAAUCCACCAAGAAGGACAAGAAGAAGAAAGAAAAGAAGAGUGAUGACGAAGGGGAGAAGAAGAAAAAGAAGGAGAAGAAACACAAGGAUGGCACUGAUGAGGAGUCUGGUGAGCAUGAUGAAGCAAAUAAGGGAAAAGACAAGGAGAAGAAAGAGAAGAAGGAUAAGAAGGAUAAGGGAAAAGAGAAGAAGGCUGAGAAAGAUGAAAAUGUCGAGUCAGAGGAGGAACCAAAACACAAAAAGGAUAAGGAAAAAGAGGAGAAGAAGAAGAACAGCAAGAAGGCUGACAAAGAUGAAGAUGUCGAAUCGGAGGAAGAGAAGAUAGGAAAAAAAGACAAGAAGGACAAGGAAAAAGAGAAGAAGAAAAAAGACAAAAACAUUGACACAGAGGAUGUAGGGAAAGAGAAAAAAGACAAGAAGGGCAAGGAAAAGGAAGAGAAGAAGAAGAAGGGUAAGAAAGAUGAAGAUGUUGAAACUCAGGAAGAAGAUAAAGAGAAUGAGCAGGGUGAGGUGAACAAGGUUGAACUAAGAGAUUUGGAAGACAAAAAUGAUAAAACACAGGAGGAAAAGCAGGGAGUGGAAGGGGAAAAGAAGAAAAAGAAGCAGAAAAAUGAGGAGGAAGAAUCAGAUCAUGAAACUAAGGAAGGGAAAGAUGAGAAGAAAGGCAAAAAGAAAAAAGAGAAGCAUAAGGAAGCUGAAUCCAAGAAGGAUUCAGAUGAAGAAAAAGAUGAGGGAAAGAAAGACAAAAAAGAUAAGAAGAAAAAGCACGAGAAAGACAAGAAGGAGAAGAAGGAUAAACAAGGAAAGGAAGAAGGCGAGGAAGGAGGUUUGAAGGAGGAAACAGAAGGCGACGACGAUGGGGUCAAAGAAAAGAAAGAAAAGAAGAAGAACAAGAUUGAGACUUGUAAGAGUAGGUCUGAUGAUGAAGUCACCGCAAGGGAGAUUAAGAUAAACGAAAAUGGCAGCGAUGCAGUAGAAGGGAAACACCAAAAAGAAGCAAAUGAAGGUAAGGAUUAUAAGGAUAAAGACAAGAAAAAGGGAAAGGAUGAGAAGAAAAGAAAAUUUGAAGAGAAGCAUAAAAGUAAAGAUCUCGAUAAAUUGAAAAAGAAAUUAGAUAAGGUCAACUCCGAAAUUGAGAGUCUUCUGAAGAAAAAGGCAGACAUCUUGAAGAUGAUCAAAGAAGCAGAGGAUAAGAAUCAGGCUGUUGUUGAGGUUUCCAAAACUGUGGAGAAAGCAGAAGAGUAAACAGUGGCUGCUACUCAGUUUGCUUAGAAUCGAGUGGCACUACAUGCUUUACCUUUGCAAUAUCAGAUUGUCCACGUUACUGGUAGAUAACUCAAUGUACAUGUAUGGUGUGCUCAUAUACCUGCAAUUUUCACUUUGUUUUUUCUAAGAGUCCUUUUUUGUCUACAAUGAAUAAGAAGAAAUUUUCAGGCUAGCGAUGUUCAUGUCCCAUUGGUUGCACUGCUUUAUGGAGAACGGGCACGCUUGAACUUUAUAAGAAGUUAUUUAUAUUUUCUGUGAGAUAUGCUCCGUCAAAUUGGUUAAUUUACUCCAAGACAAUUGGGUAAAAGGUUUUAUUUCCAUUUCGCAUUCCCAUCCCUUUCUUUUUUUUUUUUUUUUUUUUUUUUGUAGUGUGUUGUAUGCCUGGGUAUAGACUGAAUAAGAUUUGUUUCUGAUAUUUUUCUUCUCUUCUUGUUGGCUGGGAUAUUUUCCGUGAAAAACAAUUUUGAAUCUGAAUACAUAGGCAGCAAAAUUAACUAAAAGAAGGAAAUUCUAUUUCAGCAUUCUUUGGUAUUGAGCAAUUUGUUAUUGUCAUAGGAAAUAGUAGUGGGUCAUAAUGGCGAUCCCCAACGUGCAUACGAAGCUGAUCAACAGACUUGAACCAUGUAUAGCGAAACCACAAUCACCAAAUGGAAGGUCAGUGACACCUAGUCCUUCGGUACCUGGAGGCCAAGCUACUACAAGUGCAUCAAUGUGAUCAAGAUACGGCUGAAUCACGACUGGACGUCCUGAACUACGACACAUUUGACUGAGCCACAGACAAGACAUUGCUCAUGACGCUUGGACCUGGUUCAGGAAUCGUCAAGUCCAAGCUAUCUCCGGGUGUCUUUGCAUAUGGCAGCUCUCCCACUGCUACAAUGGCACCAGAAAAGUUGUUGGAUUUGACAAAUUUGGUGUGUUUGGAUUGCUUGUUUUCGUCGGAAAAUAUUGUCGUUUUUCGUGAUCACAUUUCCCUGUCACCUUUUUCCCUCACAUAUAUCAAAUCGCUACAGUAAUUUUUCCAUGAAAAAUGACGAAAAAUGCAAUUCAAACACAUUAGUAUCAGGAGUUUCCUCGAAGAUGACCUCUGUUGGUUGAUGAAUGGUUUUUCUAAUGGCACCGAGGAUUGUGGUACCUACAGAGAAAUGGUGUCUAUUUCCUCGGUGGUGGCUGAAAUUAAUAAUAUUUCAGGAAUUGAAAGUAAAAAAUUCAGUUCAUGUAUUGAGGAUGCACCAACUGUAAUGUUGCCACUCAAAUGCUCAAUGCUGCUCCAGCCCCCACACUGAAAUCCAAGAUUAUUAUCUGCAUGGCUUCCUGCUGCCCAUGCUCGUGCUGCUAGUCCAACAAGUGGUAUUAGUGGCACAAGAGAUUUUCAGACUGCAAGUUCUCUAUGAGACUGUCCAAAUUAGUUUUCAGAUAAGCAUACCUGAAAUUUUUCUUGAUCUUCUAAGCACCAGUUAGUUGAUUUGACUCCAGGACGAGCAUGUUCUGAAAUUACCUGGUACUUAACCAUAAAAGAUUCAGUCAUAGGCUCCUCACGGCAUUGUCAAUUUAAGUCUUAAGAACAUAGUAAUAGUUAAUUCUUCACUAAGAAGGUUAGCCCAUCAAUGAAUUCUGGGUAGUUGUAUGAAAUCGUAGCCUGUCCAAAUUAUGUGGCUCAAUUGAGUAACUAUAGACAUGCAUAAAAGCGUUCGGUGACAGCAUAAUUACUGUAGAUGACUCGAAAUUAUGCCUCAAAGCAUUUUGAAAUAUUUCACUUGAGACUGCCAUUAUUUAUUUCGGACUCAAUGCAUCAACCAUGUGCCCCGUCCUUCAAUGUAAUUACACAUAUUAAUCCUGGGCCUCAACCAAAGUUUGCUGUUACACAUUUUAUCUUCCAACUUUGUUGAGGACGCGAAGAUUUCCUCUCUCUUUCGACGAAGAUAUUGCUUGUCCUCACAGCAAAUGCAGAAGAUCAAGAAAUGCAUUACGCAAUCUAAUCAAAUGUCUAUCAGUAGGAGUAAUGAGCCUCCGAAGGUUUUGUGGUGAGGCCAAAUCCAAAUGGGAACAACGGGUCAUAAUGUGGAUCUCCAACGUUCAUAGGAAGUUGAUCAACCGUCUUGAACCAUGUACGUGGUAACUUGCCUGAGAAACCAUAGUCGCCAAAUAAGACAUCAGCAACCCCUUGGCCUUCAGUGCCAGGAAGCCAUGCUGCUACAAGUGCAUCGAUUUGAUCAAGAUAUGGUUGUAUCACAACUGGACGCCCAGUGAUGAGAACAACAACACAUUUCACAGAGCCACAGACAUUUCUGAUGGUGCUUGGACCUGGUUCAGGAAUUGUCAAAUUUAAACUAUCUCCAUAUGUCUCUGAAUAUGGUACCUCUCCUACCACUACAAUGGCGUAAGAGAAUUUACUGGACUUGACAAAUGCAGAACCAGGAUUUUCCUCGAAGAUAACUUCUGUUUUUGGGUGGAUGGUGUUUCUAAUGGCGGUAAGAACGGUCGUACCUGCAGGAAAAUAAACGAUUGGAAAAUGUAAAGAUCUUUUUCCUUGUUCCAUUUUGCUUGGGGUGAGGGCCUGAAUAAGAAAUGAAGAGCACAAAUUUAGAAGUUGACUGCUAAUUGAUGUACCAAUUGUGGUGUUGCCACUCAGCCCGUGCCACGACACAGUCCAUCCUCCACACUGGUUGCCAAUGUCAUUGGCAUGGCUGCCUGCGACCAGUAUUCUCGAUGCAUGCUUGGGAAGGGGUAGCAAUGGUUCAUCUUCGAAUCUAACAUUUUUUAGCAGAACAAGAGAUCUUCUCACUGCUUCCCUAGCCAGUUCCCUAUGCUCCUGUCCAAGUCAACAGUUCAAAUGCAUAAAACUUGAUGAUCUUCUCUAAUAAUCCUACAGAAUUGACAGCAGUCUGGGACCUGAGUAUAUUCUCAAAUCUCAACUUACCUGACUUCCAAGGUACUUAAUCAUGCUAUAAUCAGGAAAUGGGUACUCAAAUAGACCCAUCAUGAACUUCACCCUUAGAAUCCUCCGCACAGCAUCAUCAAUUCGGCUCAUAGAAAUGAAAGAGUUGUUCACCAAAUAGGUAAGACCAUCAAUGAAUUCUGUAUAGUUGUAGGGAAUCAUGAUCUGCAAUUCACCAUCAAUCAAAUAAGUAUGGUAAAAUGGACUAACAUGACUUAGCUUCUGACCAUAAUUUACUUUUGGAGCACAAUAUGAACUAACCAUGUCAAUGCCUGCAUUUACACCAACUAAAAUCGAAUAUGUGGAGUUUACAUGCUCUGGUGAAGUCAUCUUGUAAAUACCCUGAGAAUCUGAUAUGACAAACCCCUAAUAUAAUUCACAAACAUUUGAAAAUCAUAUUAUUUACUGCACUAGAUAGGUCUCAGACAUGGUAUUUAUCAAUUCAUGGAAAUCAACGGAGAGAUUAGCUUUACCUCAAAAUGUAGGGUAUUUUUGAGAAAGCCAGUAAUAAGAUCACGAUUAGCAUGCAUCUUUACACCAUUCCAGCUAGAGUAUGAGAUCAUGACAGUUGAUACGCCCUUAAUUAUUGAAUCAUUGUAGGCAGGCAUAUGGAUACGUAGCAGGUCAUCCCAGUUGGCCACUGUAUCGUACUCAUUGAUGCCUCGGAUGGUUCCACCAUCGCCAACAUAGUGCUUUGCACAUGCUAAAACAUUAUUUCUGCGCAUAAUCCAUCCAAAAGGAAGAAAUAUAAAGCAGUGUCUUUUCUAUGUUGAGCAUAUUGUUUAAGCUACAACUUAAACUUCAGCAAAGAAAUUUAGAAUAACUCCCCCAGCUAAAUCCCCAGACUCCAAAAGCAAUUCCCUUUCAGAAAAGAAACAUAAAAAAGAAGAACCACCACAAGGAAAUUUGAAAUUUGCUUAUCAGACCAAUGUGAUACAGAAAAAAACAUGCUUUAGCAUCAAUAAGUGCCUCUUAAAGCUUUGACUCUUCUAUGAAAGAAUUUUGGGCAAAGUUCUGUUUAUUGCACCACAUAUGAGCCAAAGUAAAAAUGAUUGAAGAAGUUUUGUUGCUCAUAUCAUCAUCAAAUAGUCAACCUUGUCGAUUUUUGUCUUAUGUUGUCAAACAGAACAAGGUAACGUCAUUCAUAUACGACUGCAAUCACAAUUCUUCUUAUUUUUGCUUUAAGUCUGCUUUGUUCUUUAUCCUUCUGUAAUAGUUUUAAAAUCCAAAUAGAGAAAAGUUCUAAAUAUUAGCAGAAUUUCAAAUAGAUUUGCAGUGAAAUGAAGAAAGUCAUAGACCUACAAAAACUAAGAAAACACAUCUAUUAAUUCCACCAAAUAACUGCCAGAAUGAGAGUACAAGACAUAAAAACUAGUACAAAACAUGAGAAUGGCUCUUCAUAUUCUAUAAUAGAAAAUGGGCAGGCCUCGAUAGCUGAAAAGCAAGUUAUUGACAUUGUUUGUUGCAAGACAUGAAAGGUACAAGUUGUUGAACCAUACAAUUACAGGAUGCAACCCUUUCAGUACCAUGGAAUGUGCAGUCUAACUAAAAGCCAGAAGGAAAAAUUGUUCAAGUCAAAGAUCCAUGCACACCAUUAAUUAAAGGUUAUCAUUUUGAAAAAACCUACUAUAUUAGACACUAAAUUCUAAAAGUUGGGAUGAAUUAGCAACUUAGGACUUUGUUCAGUAUUUUGUACACACCAGGAUUGAGAAGAAAUAAUUAGUUUGUAUGGAGCUUACUGUCCAGAAAUGUAGGGGACACCCUUAGGAGAAUCAGGAGGAACAUCUCCUUGUAAUCCUAGAAUAAUAUCAGUCAUUGCUUGAACAACUUGGGGAUCUUCACUAUAGCUUUCAAAACAGCGACCCCAUCUGGGAUCUCGACAGACCUGACAAGCAAUAAACUUUGAGUAAAAUGAACAGACUUACAAGAUUUUAAAGGUAAUUUCAGAGAGAAGAUCAUUUGAAUAAUUUUAUUACAGCAACGCAAGGUGCAAAAGAGUACUGUAUGCCUGCAGCUCUAACUUCAAGAGCAGUUGCAGCUCCUAUCUUCUUGACUAGUAAAGGAUCCCUGAUACAAUUAUUGCAGAGUUUAGCAUUAUACCAGCUGAUAAUGCUUAAUCUUCUAGCAAAGUGUCCUAAUCCAUAAUAUGGGAAAAUAGUGAUAGUAUGACAACACGUUUCCGAGAGAAGAAAAUCUUUUUGCUCUUAGCAACAGGACCAGAAAUAUUAUAAGACCAAGUUGUAGACUAGAUCUUCAAUUUGAACAGCUAUCUUUUCCAGGGUUCUGGAAGGCCAAAAUGUAAACUGGUUUUGCAUAAAAUGUCUCGCAAAAAACUUUUUCUUUAUUGCUUGCAAAAGUAGUUUCGAAUUUUCUCAUUCCACUGUUAUGUUGGUUCUGUUCUUUGUUUUAACAUCUCAUUGCAGCAAGUUUGGAAAAUUAACAUAGGACUUGACUAGAGUAAGGUAUAAAUAAUAGAUUCACUUUGAAUUUCAGAAAGCAACUUGCCUAGCUGCUCCAAGACCAAUAUUAUGAGGAAAAACUGUGGCUCCAUAUACAUCAUUGUUGCCAUGAAUUGCAUCGAUCCCAUAUAUGAUAGGUAUGCCAAGACGUGUUGAUAAAGCACCCUUCUGGAAUUCGUUCACCAUGUCCAUCCAGGUCUCAGGAGUAGCCCUGUUAGGUAAAAGACUUUCCCCACCAUUGAACACACUGCCUGCUCAAGAAAAUCAAAAUCUAUAUGAUUUGUUUAUAACUAAUCAAAUACUUGAGCAGACCUCACAGUUUCACAAAUCAUCAUUAAGUGAUACUCUAUCAAAGAGUAGGUAUACCAAGAGUGUGUGAUGUUUAUACCAAUAUAGUAGUUUCUCACGACUUCAGCUGAUGCAACAACGCGAUCAAUUUGGGACAUUUGACCAAUCUUUUCCGCUAGGGUCAUCCUGCUCAUUAAAUCCUUAACUCUCACGUCUACUGGCUGUUUAGGAUCUUUAUAUCUCAUGUACUCUGCUUUUGUCUUCACUGUCCAGCAGCACAAGACCAAAAUCCCCACCACAAAGAAAUGACUCCUUGCCAUUCUUACCAUCAGCAUCCCCUUCACUUCGCAAACUAAUGGACAACACAUAAAAGUCAAUUAGACAAAUACACCAGCAACAUAUAUUCACGAGAUUAAAUAGAAGAAAGCAGCAAUUUAGGAACCAAAAAAUGUAUCCCCUUUUGUUUUUGAUUUUGUGCGUGUGUGUGUGUGGGUGGGUGAAAGGAGGAGGACGGGGGGUGGUUAAGUCAAAAAUUGGCAAUGGCCAAGAGAAUAAAAGAACGCGCACAGUGAUUGUAUUCAAGCAGUCCUUCAAGUCUUACACGAGUACUUGGCCAGCAACGUCCACUUGAAAAUAAUCAGAACAACUAGAAAGCAUUCUGAAGUUUAAUCUAAACAGAAAUGCAAAUUCUUGCACGAACAUCAAAAGCACUGAACAUAAUAAUAGAAGGGAUAAAAUUUAGAGCGAAGAAGUUUUACUAUUUGGGCUCCAUUCCUUUAUUUCAGCAAAUGCUUACAUAUCUAAUCCAUCUAGAAGCUUAUAUUGUCAACCCAAGAAGAUUAGUCCAUGGAAACUUACAGUAGCAGAAAAGAGAUGAUAAUCACACAGUCCAACGGUGGCACUUCUUCUCCGGUGAUGAUUCUUGCUUGGAGCUGGCCAAACACCCUCGCAAACAACACCACCAAACGGGUUUGCUGUUAAUGCGGAAGAGCAUUGAAGUUUGGAAGAAUAGAAGAUUAAAAAGACGAUUAGAGCAGCAAGUUCAGCCAAACGUUUUUAGUAAAAAAUAUUUGAGUGUGGUAGCUUGUUCCGUGGGCAAUUUAUAAACAGCACCAAACCAAGUACUGCUAGAUAUAAAGAAUAAGAGCCACUAUUUGCACUCCGAUCCCUGAGAUUUUCAAUAAUUAGAAAACACCACUCUAUACCUGGCUCGACAGAGUACACAUGACUGGUCCACCACGAUUUUUCUUUUCUUUUCUUUUCUUUUAUUUUUUCCCCACAGGCGAUCGGUCCCCCAUUUUGUGCCACGUAUUUGGAUAUUUCGACUUGUUUAGUGGAAAAAGUCGGCAAGUAAACCUUCACUGGUAGUUUGGGAGUUGAGGAUAGAAAAGAAAAGAAGAGAGAGGUUAAGUUAUGAGAGAAAAUAAAGCAUAAGAAAAGAAGAGAAGAGAUUUUAAUGUUAUUUAAAAAUUUAUGAAAAAAAGAAAAUAAUUUUGAACACAUUGAUCAAUAAAUAUUCCAUUCAAUAGUUUUUUAAGAAUAAAAUAGACAAUUUAAAAAAUUUUUGUAGCCUUUCCAUAUUGUUUCUUUGUUUUCUGCCUGAUUUGGGAUGGAAAUUUUUUUUAACUAUAACGGGUCUUUUCUUCCUCCCAAAUCAGUCAAAUUCUUUUACUUUUUUAUUUCACUAAAACUUUUAAACAUGAAAAAUACCUAUUUUUCUCUUCAACACUUUUCUUUUAUAUUCAAAUCUCAUCUCCCAACCUAGGCAUCAGAACUCAACCCCGAGAACUUUUUGUUUCCAAAUAAAUAAAUAUAAAUAUACAGCAUAUCUCUUGAAAGUCUAACGUGGUAAAUGAUCAUAAUUCUUAGGUGUAUAAAAAAGCACCAACCAACCUAAAGAGGGAAGAGGCGAAGAGGCGUGGGGAUUAGAACAAUUUGAAUUUCGACCAAUUAUAAACCAAUGUUAUAAUAGUGACCUGCCUUCUGUCCUUUGUCCAAGUAGAGAGUCAGAUAAACCGUGGCCCACUGGUCCAUCCGCACAGGUGUAUCGCCGGCUGGAACGCGACUACAAGUUUGCCCCUUCUCUUAAUUGACAAUUUAAGCGAUAGAUUUUGGACAUAUUGCAGUGAUUCGAUCAGAAACAUCGUAGUCCGCAUAACAAACGGCACUCGGGCGGAGCAAAUAAUGUAUCUCAGGGUGCAAUUGCACAUUUGCAGCCCCUCAAUUUUUUUUGAAAGCAAUAGAAUGGCCUAUAAAGAAAAUCUAAUUUUUUUUUAAUAGCUUUACUCUAUACACAUUAUCCACCUACUAUAUACGAAAGAAUUUACAUCUUGAAACCUCAUGCAUAAUUUUAAUUAAUAGUAUGUAAUUUCAUACUAUUAGAUAAUUUGAUAACUACUGCAAAUAAUAAAUAACAAGUUGCAGCAAUUUUCCAAAAAAAAAAAAUUUGUGUAUUUAGAGCAAAUAUUUAGUUGUACUAAAAAUUUAUAAACCAACACGUUGUAAGUAUAAACUAAUGUUGUUAUCCCUCGAAUAAAGUUCCUGACUCAACCACUGGGUAAAUCAUAGCUAUGGUAAUUUUUUUAUUUUAGUGUGUCAGUAACAUCAUUCGAACACGAUAAUCAUUUCUGUGCAAUUUUAAAAAUUUUCAAGGAUGACUUAAUCUUACUUAAUUUAGUUAAUAUUUUUAAAAUAUUAAUACAACAAAUGUUCGAUAAAGAGCUGCUAGUUAUUUGCUUAGUUUCAUAUAUAUAUAUAUAUAUAUAUAUAUAUAUAUAUAUAUAUAUAUACAUAUAUAUAUACAUAUACACACACACACACACACACACAAACCUACAAGUGACAUAUAAAGGAGUGAGAUAAUAUCAAUUGACCCAACAAAAAUUUAAAAAAAUGGGGUUGCUUGCAUUGGUGGAUUUGGACCAUUUUUAGCCGCGGUAGAGAUUUUGUCAACCUAGAUGAGUCAGGCUGACUGGAUUUUAGAUUUCCAUCUCUACUAGUGAAGAUUGAAGAUCGCACAUGAACUAGCGUCUCUUAGUUUAUCGGCUACCAGAGACCUUGCAAGAGUAGGUGCCUCCACUCACGAGUGGCCGGCCCAAGCCCAUUAUGUCCGAGCCCACGACCCACAUUGAUGUGUCAACUCAACCCGCCAGCCGCAACACUGACGUGUACAUAAACCCACCGGUACCUUUCUUUUCUUUAAAAAAAAAAAAAAAAAAAAAGAGAAUGUUACUCACGUCAUGAGAUUUUUUUUUUUUUUUUUUGUGUUGGUGCAUCAGUAAGAUUUCUUCCACAAUGGUUUCUCUGAUUUAUAUCUGAUUCAGCACUACAGGUUUUAGAGCUUGGGUGGGCAUUGGAUGCUGCUUAGCUUAAAAAAGCUUUCCACCUUAAAAGCAAAUUAGUAAAACUAUACUAGAAUGAAAAUACACAUCACAUCACUGGCACCAAUUUCAUCAACUAGUAGCCUGUUAUUUUUCAUUUUUCACCAAAAAUAUGUUUGAAUCAGAAAUUUUUUGUAAUGGUACCAGACUGAGUUACGUGGAAAUUCUCCAAUCCAAUGACAGAAAUGGACAAUUCAAUCAGAUAACAAUCAAUCAAUUGAAAACUAAGAUUCGGAUUUAACUCAGAUAGUUGUAAUUGAAGUAGGAAUUAAAAGAUACAGAAAAGGCGGGAAAAGCUAAGAAGAUGAAUGAGAUUGAAGGAAUUGGGGAAAAAGAAACAGAAAGGGCUCAGCCCAAAUCUCUGUUGAAUUUACACGGAAUUCUUGCUACCUAUUACAUCCAUUCUAUCCUAUUUAUAGAUAUCCAGCUGAUAACCAACUUCAUAGCUUCCAAUUGUCGUGACCAAGUGGCUGAGAACCGUUGCAGCUGAAUUUGAAAGUUUGUUAUUCUUCAUGUGCGUCUGUUGCAGAAAGCAUCCUCCAUUUAAAGGCGUGGUUUUGAAACCACGUUUUCCUUUGCUUCUUCUACCUAUUUCACGCCUUCCCUUACUCUGUCUCCACGCCUUCAGAUUGACUUCAUGACAAUAGCUUCCCCUGCAAUUAAAUCUUGACCUCAAGAUUGGAAUGCUGGAAAUUUGCGUUCUAUCUCUUCUGCAUCUUCCCACGUUGCUUCUGCAGGAGAGGUUCCCUACCACUGAACCAACCAAUAGACUGCUGCUGCAUUUUUUUUCUUAACAAUCUUUCGAUCCAGCACAGCUAUUGGCUCUACCCUGAAGUGACCCUUCUCAUUUGUAUCUGGUAAUUGUAGUACUGGCACCACCUUCUGUCCUAUCUUUUUCUUUAGCAGUGAAACAUGAAAAACUGGGUGUAUUUUGGAUGAAGUUGGGAGCUGAAGUUUGUAGGCUACCUUUCCUAUCUUCUGAAUCACUUGAUAAGGUCCAAAGUACCUGGCUGAUAAUUUGGUGUUGCUUCUCAUCUCCACAGAGUUUUGCCUGUAAGGUUGUAGCCUAAGAUACACCCAAUCCCCAACCACAAAUUCCCUUUCAGACCUCUUUCUAUCAGCAUAGAUCUUCAUUCUGUUCUUGGCCUCCUCCAGGUGCUGCUUAAGCAAUCCUUCGAUCAUCUCCCUUUCCUGUAAGUGAUCUGCCACUGUGGCUACCUUAGAGUGUGAAUACGUACCCAAAGCUAGUUGAGGUGGUUUCAUUCCAUAUAAUGCUUCAAAGGGGCUCAUCUGUAUGGCAGUGUGAUAAGUGGUAUUGUACCACCAUUCUGCCAUUGAUAGCCAGGCAUUCCACCUCUUGGGCUCCUGGUGUGUCAUGCAUCGUAGAUACAUUUCCAAAACUUGAUUCACCCUCUCAGAUUGACCAUCUGUCUGAGGGUGAUAAGCAAUACUUAGGCAUAGUUCAGUCCCCAUUAGUGAGAAUAACUCUGUCCAGAAUUGACUGGUAAAUACCUUAUCUCUGUCUGACAGCAUGCUCAGGGGCAUGCCAUGUAGCCUACAGACCUGAUCCAAGAAGACUCUGGCUACUGUUGGGGCAUCAAAGGGAUGAGUUAGACCUGUGAAGUGAGCAUAUUUAGUGAACCUAUCCACUGUGACCAGGAUUGUGUCCUUCCUUUCUGAAUUGGGCAACCCCUCAAUAAAAUCCAUGGUGACAUGACUCCAGGAGUACUGAGGUGUGGGUAGUGGUUGCAGGAGACCAGGAUACGCAACAUGUUCGUCCUUGCAUCUCCUACAGGUGUCACACUGCAACACUGUCUCCUUGACCUCCUUAUACAUCCCUGGCCAGUGGAAGAACUGCUUGGCCCUUAGAUAGCUAUCUUGCACACCAGAGUGACCUCCCAGCUGUGAAUCAUGGAUGGCAGUGAUGAUUUUUCUCCUGAUUUGACCUCCAUUUCCUACUACCACCCUUCCCUUGUAUUUGAGUAUCCCAUUCUGACAGGAGUAGUCCUGUAGAGUCCCUGGUGUGAGGAUCAGAUUCCUGAGUAUCUCCUGGACCUCUGCAUCUCCUCGAUAGCUUUCCUCCACCUCUUUGAUCCACUCAGGAACGACACAAGUCAUUUCUGCAAUCUCCCCCUCCUCCUUGCUGCUUCUCCUGGACAGUGCAUCUGCAACAACAUUCUCCCUGCCUUUUUUGUAUUGAAUGUCAUAGUGUAAUCCCAAUAGCUUAGUAAGCCACUUCUGUUGGAGUGGAGUAGUGACCCUUUGAUCCAGCAAAUAUUUGAGGCUCUGGUGAUCUGUCCGGAUGGUGAAGUGAUGACCUUCUAGGUAAUGUCUCCAUUUGGUAACUGCAGUAACCAGUGCCAAAAGCUCCUUCUCAUAAAUGGAUAAUCCUAAGUUCUUUGCUCCUAAGCUCUGACUCAAAUAAGCAAUAGGCCUCCUGUCUUGCAUGAGCACUGCUCCAAUCCCUCCAUAGCAUGCAUCUGUUUCUAUGAUGAACGCCUAACUGAAAUCUGGCAAGACCAGCACAGGUGUGCUACACAUUGCCAUCUUAAGCCUCUGGAAUGCCUCCUCAGCCUCUUCAUUCCAUUGGAAUCCCUCUUUUUUCAACAGUGUUGUUAGAGGCUUGGCAAUGGAACCAUAACCCCUCACAAACUUCCUAUAGUAGCCUGUUAAGCCUAGAAAUCCCUUUAGUUGUUUCAUAUUUCCAGGACGUGGCCAGUUUAUCAUCCCUUCAAUCUUCCUAGGGUCUGCCUGCACUCCUUCAGCAGUGAUUAUAUGGCCCAAGUACUCCAUUUGAGUCUGUGCAAAACAGCAUUUGCUCUGCUUUGCAAACAGUUGGUGCUGUCUCAACAGGUCCAGAACUUCUGUCACGUGUUGGAGAUGAGUUUCCAGUGUGGGGCUAUAUACCAAGAUGUCAUCAAAGAACACUAUCACAAAUUUCCUCAGCUGCUCCUUGAAAACCUGGUUCAUUAAGCUCUGAAAAGUAGCAGGGGCAUUAGUUAGGCCAAAUGGCAUCACCUUGAAUUCGUAUAGUCCUUGAUGAGUCCUGAAUGCAGUCUUGUGUCUGUCCUCCAUCUUGACCCUGAUUUGAUGGUAACCUGCCCUUAGAUCAAUUUUAGUAAAGUACCUGGAUCCAUGUAAUUCGUCAAUCAGCUCAUCAAUCAGAGGCAUUGGAAAUUUAUCCUUCACUGUGAGCUCAUUGAGUUGCCUGUAGUCCACACAAAACCUCCAGCUUCCAUCCUUCUUUUUGACUAACAGGACUGGAGAGGCAAAGGAGUUGUUGCUAGGCUGAAUAAUUCCCAUUUGUAGCAUUUCCCUGACCAGCUUUUCUAUUUCUGACUUCUGUACAUAAGGGCAUCUGUAGGGUCUGAGUUGGAAGGGUCUGGCACCUUCUUUGAGUGGUAUCCCAUGGUCAUGGCUCCUAGGAGGAGGUAGGCCCUGUGGCUCAACAAAUAUAUCCUGGUACUGGUUCAGCAUUUGUUUCACUUCUGCUGGCACCUCAUCCUGUCCUUCCUCCAGUAUGGUGAGAAGUGCAGUUACUCCAUACUCUUGUUUCCUCCUCCAUUUCAUCAACUUGCUCCCUUUAAUGGCUGUCAGCUUAAGCUUAUUAGAUUCACCCUUCAGCUCCACUUUCUCCUUCCCUCUUGUGAAUUUCAUGCUCAACUGGUUAAAGUCAAAUUCGAUGGGACUAUAUCUGGCCAGCCAGUCCACCCCCAGCACCAUAUCACAACUUCCUAGCUGCAAAGUGUUGAAGUGGUGCUGAAACUCAUGUCCCUGUAUCUUCCAACUUAGUGGUCUGCUGAGCUGUCUGGACUCCAACCUUUCCCCAUUAGCCACUCUAACCACCAGGGGAGUUCCUGUUACCUGCAGUUGCAGGUGGGAAGCCACCAUUUCAUCCAGAAAACAAUGAGUGCUGCCACUGUCAACCAGAAUUAAGAGUUCCUUCCCUGCCAGUACCCCUUUUAGCUUAAAGGUGCUGUGUCCCUCUCCUCCAGAUAAUGUGUGGAUUGAAACCUCUAUCCUUUCAUUACUGAUUCCUCCCUCAAUACAGUCACAAAACUCUUCUCCUUCAUCCAUUUCCCCUUCAGCUACUUCAAUUAGCUCAGUUGGUUCAUCCUCCAAGAUAUACUGAAUCUGAGCUUGCUUGCAGAUGUGGCCUAGAGUGUAAGGUUCUGCACACUUGUAGCAUAAUCCCUUCUCCCUCCUGUAGUUGAAUUCUGUGGGAGAGAUUUUCCUGAAAUUGUCUGCUGUGUUUCCCCCUGCCUUGGGUCCCCUGUGGUAAUUGUCCCUGAGUAUCCUAGAGCCUUCAUGGUGCCAUUUGUUCCUCAAUUGUGGGACAGGGUUUGGCCUGCUGCUUCCCAGGGAGCUGGAAUGGUAUGGGGCCCCAUGGGGUAUUGUCCUCUGUGCCUUCCUUAUAACUUCUAAAUUCUUCUCCUCAGCUUAGCAGCUUCUAUAGUGUCUGCCAAAGUACGGGGUCUAGCCAUCCUCACCAUGUUUACAAUUUCCCCCUUCAAGCCACUCAUAAAACAAGAUUUAUAAUAGGAGUCAGGUUGGUUGGGUAGUAGAGGCAUUACCAAGGAUUUGAGUAGUUCAAAUUUUUCCAGGUAGUCAGUCACACUACCAGUCUGAGCCAGUUUGUUGAAUUCUUCUAUGGUUUCUUCUGGUGUUCCUCCUCCAAACCUCUCGCAAAUGGCCCUGGACAGCUCCUCCCAAGGAACUUCAGCUCUUCCAUGGUACAUUCCAAGGAACCAGAUAUCCGCCUUCCCUUUGAGAUGCAGUUGAGCCAGAUCAGAUUUCAGUUCCUCUUCCACUCCCUGGAUCUGGAAAUACUUGUUGGCUCUCCUGACCCAUUCCCUAGGAUUCUCUCCAUCAAACACAGGGAAGUCAAGCUUUGGCAACCUGUUUCCUCCUCUUCCUUCUAUUCUCUCAGGUUUUUUGCUGACCAGAUCCAACCUCUGAUAUCCUCCUGAACUACUUCCUUCCUUUCCUUUUUCCUUGUCAGAUAGCUUGGCCAUCAUCUGCGCCAUCAUAUUCAUCAUACUCUCAUAUUUCUGAUCCAAGUUUUUUAUAGUUUUUUCAGUACUCUCUUGCCUGUGCUCCAUAGCUCUCAUGGCUUGCUCCAUUCCAUCGUUCUUAUUGGCAAACGUCCUCAUGACACUCCCUAGCUCAGUCAGGUCCUUCUUCAUCAUCUCCUCCUGUGUCUUAGUCAUCCCUAAUGGCUCGUAGCUAGCUCUGAUACCACUGUAAUGGUACUAGACUGAGCUAUGUGAAAAUUCUCCAAUCCAAUGACAGAAAUGGACAAUUCAAUCAGAUAACAAUCAAUCAAUUGAAAACUAAGAUUCGGAUUUAACUCAGAUAGUUGUAAUUGAAGUAGGAAUUAAAAGAUACAGAAAAGGCGGGAAAAGCUAAGAAGAUGAAUGAGAUUGAAGGAAUUGGGGAAAAAGAAACAAAAAGGGCUCAGCCCAAAUCUCUGUUGAAUUUACACGGAAUUCUUGCUACCUAUUACAUCCAUUCUAUCCUAUUUAUAGAUAUCCAGCUGAUAACCAACUUCAUAGCUUCCAAUUGUCAUGACCAAGUGGCUGAGAACCGUUGCAGCUGAAUUUGAAAGUUUGUUAUUCUUCAUGUGCGUCUGUUGCAGAAAGCAUCCUCCAUUUAAAGGCGUGGUUUUGAAACCACGUUUUCCUUUGCUUCUUCUACCUAUUUCACGCCUUCCCUUACUCUGUCUCCACGCCUUCAGAUUGACUUCAUGACAUUUUUCUCACUCAGGGUUUCAGUUGCCCUUCUUGGCUUCUGUGUUCAGGCCAUAUCCAAAUGGGUACAAUGGGUCAUAAUGUCUGUCCCCGACGUUCAUGGGCAGUUGAUCAACCGUCUUGAACCAUGUAUGAGGAAGCUUGCCCGUGAAACCAUAGUCACCAAAUAAAACAUCAGCAACCCCUUGGCCCUCAGUUCCUGGAAGCCAAGCAGCUACAAGUGCAUCAAUUCGAUUCACGUAUGGCUGAAUGACGACAGGCCGGCCGGUGAUCAGAACUACAACGCAUCUCACAGACCCACAAACGUUAGUAAUGGUACUAGGGCCUGGUUCAGGAAUCGUCAAGUUUAAGCUGUCCCCGACUGUUUCAGCAUAUGGUGGCUCUCCCACCACAACAACCGCAUAGGAGAACUUGUUGGACUUGACGAAUUCUGCAUCAGGUUUUUCGCUGUACACAACUUCUGUUGUUGGAUCAACUGCAUUUCUUAUACCAGUCAGGAUUGUGGUACCUGUUUACCAGAAAAGAAUAAGUUGGAGUCAGUUACCAGUACGAAUAAAUGCCAUCACUGCUACUGCUAUCAGCUAAAAUGAUAACCAAAGAACCUUUUGUGAUGUUGCCGCUGAGGCCUUGCCACUCAAUUGUCCACCCACCACAUUGGUUACCAAUAUUAUCAGCGUGGGUUCCUGCAACUAGAAUGCGUUUCGCUUUCUUGGGGAGGGGUAGCAAUGGCUUGGCUGCGGAUUCGCCAUUCUUCAACAGCACAAGAGAUUUCCUCACUGCUUCUCUUGCCAGGUCUCUGUGCUCCUGUUAACGUUAAAAAAGUGUUUAAACUUGGGGCCAAGUGAUCUCAACUUCUCUUUCAUCUUUUCUAUUCAAUCCGCUCUUUGUAAAUCGACACCCACUUACCUGCAACCCAACGUAUUUGGUCAUGCUAUAGUCGGCCAAUGGGUGCUCAAAGAUGCCCAUCGUGAACUUCACCCUCAAAAUCCUCUUCACUGCAUCAUCAAUUCGGCUCAUUGGAACAAAAUUGUUCUUAACCAGGAAGGUUAGACCAUCAAUGAAUUCUGUAUAGUUGUAUGGAAUCAUGAUCUGCAACAUCCGAAAAAUAACACAAGUCCUUCAGCAUUUAGCAGAGUAGAUUAAUAUUAUAAGCUUGUUAAGCAAAUCAGACUGACCAUGUCAAUUCCGGCGCUGACACCAGUGACAAUUGAGUAUGUGUAAUUUGCAUGAGGAGGAGAGGUAAUAGUGUCAAUGCCUUGCCAAUCUGAGAUGACAAAUCCCUGAAUAAUAAUUCAGAACUUAAUUAAUCCUGUGCUCGAUUGGAGAUGUCGAAUGAGGAACUGGAAGCAGGAAGGAGUACUUUUUACUUUCGAAACUGAUUAGUUUACCCUAAAUCUCAGCGUGUUCUUAAGAAAACCAGUGAUCAUUUCACGAUUAGCAUGCAUCUUUAUUCCAUUCCAGCUUGAAUAGGAGAUCAUGACAGUUGAUACACCCUUGAUAAUUGCAUUAUAAUAGCCGGCCAUAUGGAUGCUAAGCAAACCAUGCCUGCUGAUCACUGUAUUAUUCCCAUUGAUGCCUUCAGUCGUUCCUCCAUCACCAACAAAGUGCUUAGCACAUGCAGCAAUGUUCUUUCUGCCAAAAAAAAAAAAAGAUUAAUCAAGAAUGCAAAUUCCGAAGGUACAGGGUAUACAAUUUCUGGGAAUUUAUUAUCCAUUCCUAGAAUAAUAUUUUAAAAAAAUAUACAAAUUUUAGAUCGAAUGGAGUAAUUUUCAUGUAUCUUCUAAUUGACACCGGGUAAAGCUAAACAACCUCCCAAUUCCAAGUUUUGAAGCUUUGAACGGUCAAUUGGACUUUCUAACCUUUUUGUGGGCAUUUGGUUAGAUAUCUUAUUUACUAGUAGAUGUUCUUUGUUACCCCUGUUUUAAAGUUCAAUCAAUCCGGUCCACAUCAGUUCUUGACAAAAAAAAAUGUAAAAGCUAACAUCCAACUGAAGGAGUGGACUAUAGCAAACAAGGUGACGGGCAAGCAAGUCGCUGCAUAAACGGGGAAGGCCGCGAACUUGAGCAAAAAAAAAAAGUGGCCGGAGCAGAAUGAGAUGAGCAUGAAAGCUGUGGAUACAAACAGCGAAGUUAAACCCAAUAGAAGCUUACUGGGCAAGCUGGUGCCAAAAUCUUUUUCUUGGUACCUAGACGUGAGAAUGGCUAGAAACAUGACUAAGGAGGUGACCGAAAAGCAAAGCGCAACAAGGGAUGAAAUGGCGAAGCAGUCAAAUGCGGGCUUGGGAAAUUAUGGAUUUAUCCCGAAAUUUUAGUCAGAUCCGAGUUUGGAAAAUUUGGGAUUAACGGAUGUUUCCGAUUUUGUCCUUGAAAUUAUGCCGGUGUGCUAUUUUUAGCCGAAAAAGGGCAAAUACGAGCAUUAUAAUGAAAUUGGCUCAUAAUUUAUAAAUUAAGAAAUAUUCUGGCUGAUUUUAAAUGUCAGGGACUAAAAAAAAUUUUUGUGAAAAUAUUGGGGAUCAAUUUGGCUAAUUUACCAUCAAGAAAAUGAUGGAAUAAGAGGAAUUUGCAAUACGUACUGGCCAGCAAGAUAAGGAACCCCUAAGCGGCCAUUGGAAGGGAUUUCCCCUUGUAAUCCCGGAAUAAUCUCAGUCAUUGCGCUCACAAUUUUGGGAUCUUCACUAUAGCUUUCAUAACACCGGCCCCAUCUGGGAUCUCUGCAGACCUAAUCACAGAUCAGAAAGGGCACUUAUUUUGAUUGUUUCAAUGUACUCUGAGCUGCAUAACAAUUAAUGGAUCACAGAAAGAGUUAAAUUACCGCAAUGCAUGGUGCAAAAGCAUAUUGAAUGCCUGUAGCUCUCACUUCAAGGGCAGUUGCAGCUCCAAUCUUCUUCACCAGUGCAGGGUCCCUGCUCAAGCGGGUAACUCAAAGAGUUUAAUUGCCACAUUCAAUUAAAGAUUCAAUAUUGAGAAGAGGGUAAAUUCCAUUUUAUCCCCUUAAACUAUGCCCAAAAUCUCACUAUAGUCCCUAAACUUUAAAAUGGGACAUUUAAAUCCUUAAACUAUAUAAUCCGUCCCACUUUACUCCAAAUUUUGACGAAAUACACAAAAUCUAACAGAAUAGUUGCCAAUUCAUUUAGGUUAUAAUUAUAAUUUAAUUUAAUCAAAUCUAAUAGGGACAUAAAUAUAAUUUAAUGAGACCCAAUAUAAAAAAAACAAAGAGUCAGAGAGAUAAAGAUAAUUUUACCUCUUUAAUUAAUAAUAAUUAAAGUUUUUUCCCUUUUUUAAUCGAAAAGCCAUGUUUUUAAACUUUACUUUUCUUUUUUUUUUCCACCUUUUUUUCUAUUUUCCUUUCAUUUCCUUUUCUAUUUUUUCCUUUCUUUCUUCACUACCUUCUUCCUCCAUUACCGCACAUCAACCACUGCUACACAUCAUCUACCUUUUCUCUUGCCAUCAUCAUCCGCCACGUUUUACUACUUCAUUCUCCUCCCGAUGAUGAAUCCAAAAAUAUGAUGUUUAUCACAGAAGAAAUCACAAAAUGUUUGCCAUACCAAUACAUCACCAUUUGUACUUAUCACAACCUGUAACUUGUUUCUUGUCUCCUUUUUGAAUAGCCGCCCCACCCAAUUUCUUAUCCCCUCUUCUCCAUUCACCUAAUUUCAUAUCACAACGUUGUAGGAGCAUUUUUUUAUGUUGUAACGGAAAUAAUGUAAAUGAUUUGUUCAAGAAAAGAAUACUGCAAACAAAUUUGAGAUUUCUUGAAAACCAAUUUUACAAAUACCAACUGAAUUUAAACCCAGAAAUCUAGAAACAUAUUUUGAGAGAAGGAGAGAAAAAGAAAAGAACGAAAGACCAUCGAGAAAAUGGGUCAAUCCUGUUUGAUUUGUUUCCCACCAGCCAAAUCACAGAAUACAAAUUUCCUCAAGAGGAAAGUUGUGAGAUAAAUAAAAUAAUAUUUUCCUCCAACCUAUUAGCUCUGAGCGUACCUGACCCGGCUUUUGAGUCUCGGCUCCGAGACAAAGCCUACCUCGAAAUCCUCGACCAACACACCUCCGACCUCCAUCGUCUUUCCACCUCCACUUCCGUAGCACGAUCCACCCCCUCUUCCUCCUCCUCCAACACCACCGCCACCACCAUCCCUUAUGGCCUCGUUAUCUCCCUCUUUUCCCACUCAAAAUUCUUUGUUGAUAUUGAUUUGGUUUCUGAUAUUUAAAAUUUUUUUUCGUGAUUAUAUUAUAAUAAUUAACAAAUGGAGGGCUGCGAGUCAAGGGUAUGAUCAGAGCUUCUGGUGGCAAACGGUGGUAGUGGGUGGCAUGGGCGGUGUGUGGCUGGGAUGAAGGGAGAGAUAGGGAGGAAGAGAAAGAAGGUGAAUGAAUAAUUUUUAAAAAUUUGGAGUGUAUCAAAAGCUUUGGAUUUCAUGAAAUUACACUUAUGUCCCUGUUGGAUUUGGUUAACUUUAGUUAUAAUAAUAACUAACAGAAUUGGCAAAUAUUCUAUUUGGUUUUGUGCAUUCUGUUAAAAAUUGGAGUAAGGCGGACAUGUUUAUAGUUUAAGGAUUUAAAUAUCUCAUUUUGAAGUUUAGGGAUUAAAAUGAGAUUUUGCUUAUAGUUUGAGGGGAUAAAGUGGAAUUUACCCUCGAAAAGAUAGAUAUCAAAUGAUGCCAAAAAGAGCCGUAUCCCUCCCCGCUAAAUCCCUCCCCGUCCUUCUCCCCAAGACAAGAACUUCAGCUGCAGCUUUUUCAUAAAACAACAAACAAAAUGGUGGACUUCAGCUACUACAAUACAAGAGUGCGUUUUGGAGUACUCUCCAAAUUAUAAGCAAAUAACUCACGUCAAAUAAUUGUAAUACGAACUACUAGCCACAUAAAAAAUGGUCGUAAUCAAAGGAGAUGUGGAUUAAUCAUCGUCAUCUAGAAACUUAAUCACAGCCAAAUGGUCGUGCAGACUUACCUAGUGGCUCCAAGACCAAUAUUAUGAGGAAAAACGGUAGCCUUGUAGACAGUGUUGUGGCCAUGAACAGCGUCAAUCCCAUAAAUCAUUGGUAUCCCAAGACGCGUAGACAAUGAACCCUUUUGGAAAUCGUUUACCAUGUCCACCCAUGUCUCCGGCGAAGCCUGCUUAGCUGGAACACUCCCUCCACCACUCAGUACACUCCCUGCAAAUAACUGACAUUUUAAUCCCAGAAAAAGAAAAACGACAACACAUAACGAGCUCUUCUAAUUAACUGCAAAAAUCAGUUUUUUCAAAGUGCAGAUUAUUGAUGCAUACCAAUGUAGUACUUUUUCAUGAUCUCUCUGGAUGCGAUACUACGAUCUAUCUGCACCAUUUGGCCAAUUUUCUCCUCUAAGGUCAUCCUGCUCAAUAAAUCCUUAAUUCUAGUAUUUAAGGGCUGUUUGGGAUCCUUAUAAGGCAAGUACUCUGCUUCUGCUUUCAUGGCUGCACAGAUGCAGAACAAUGCGAUCCCAAAAGCCAGUAAGGAACCCUUUGCCAUCUUGAGCCUCAGCAUUACCUUCAACAGACAAAAGAGAACAGAAAAUUCUAUUAGAUUCCAAGCAUCCCAUCAAUAAAUCUCACUGAUGUAAACCGUGGCUUUGGAAAACGUUUAGACAACUGAAGUACAAGGAAGCAGCAUUUUCCCAAAUUUUGCCGUUUUAAAUCUGGAGAUGAACUAUUCAAGUAUUUGGAAGAGCAAUUAUUGGACAGGAGAAUAUCUUGGACAGUGGACACACGAAACAUGAAACGUGAACAUGUAUGUCCAUGCGUUUGUUUGACGAAAUGGACUUGUUAAAAAAGCGAAGACGAGUAAAAAAGGAAAUCUUGGGAAAGUAUAAAAUUAUCAAUGUAACACUAUGAUAGUUAGGAAAAUCAAGAUAAACUAUCAAGAAUCUUGAAAAAGGAACCAAAAAGUCCCUCUAAAAAAAAUGGAACCAAAAAGUUUUAUCUGAACGUAUGAGAUGCCCAGGAAAACAGUCCAAUGCUAUUAAAGAAUCAGAGCCUACUAUCACCGAUAGCCACUGAGUGGUGGUCUAUGGCUGCCGAUUUAAGGUAGGGAUGUAACUUACAGAGGAUGCAGCCAAAAUUGCACCCCAGCACACCAACUACUACUAUGCUUUUAGUAGUACAGUGUUUCUUUGUCGCUGAGAGAGAGAGAGAGAGAGAGAGAGAGAGAGAGAGAGAGAGAGUACACAGCUGCAGAUGAAAUGGGAUGUAGAGGGAUGCCAUUUAUAGAAAAACGUUCUGUCAUUUAAUUGGCUUGGUUACCCAUUGAUGCGGAUAUGCCCUCCAUAUUGUGCUGUAAAAGUCUGAUAUUAAGUUUGAUGGAGUUUUUUGCCAAAAUAACACUAUGUUAUUGUUGCCACCUAAUUUAUAGUUUCCAAAAUGAAUUAAAAAUUUAAAAUUUUUUUUAUUAUAGAGGAACAAGAAGAUUGCAUAACUUUUAUAAUUUCCUUAUAAUUAUUUAACAUAAAUUCUGCCAUUAUUGACCUUGCUAUUAUUGGUUUCUGAAUUUCUUAAAAUGAAUCAAACCUAUUGCAUAUAUUUUUUCAAAAAAAAAAUUAAAAAAUACAAAAAUUGCAACAAAAAUUUCAAUAAAAAUUGUAAGCAAUUACAAAUACUUCAAGGUGAUCAUAUUUGUUUAUGUUACCCUUCCUACUUCUUAAAAAGACAAGAGAAUAAUUUUUAUCUGCCUUGAGAUUAUCGAUUUGAGAAGCAUAUUUUUUAGGUGUUGUUAAUAUAAAUAUUGGCUUCUUAGGAUUAUGUUUGACAAAGGAAAAAUAAUUAAACAAAAAAAUGCGAGAAGGUUUAGAAAAAAAUUGGAGAAGACAUUAUAUGGGAAAGAGAAAUGAAAUAUGCCUUUAUCUCCAUCCUAGGACAUAUGCAGCUUAAGUGGCAAAAAAAGGAUCAUAAAAAUAAUAAAAUUUAAAAUUAGGUUACUUUGAGUAUAUGUUUUGGAAGACGAGUUAUUUUGGCAAUAAACUCAAGUUUGAUGCUAGGGUACUGAAAUGCUGGUCCACGUACACUGCAGCCCCAAGUGAAGACAGUAAUGGAACUUUGACGUUUUUGUAAGGUAGGGGAUUCAAACUAGUAAUAAGUUAAUGUAAAAAUAAUUCAAAACGUAUCUCAUAUUUUAUUAAACAAUUUUUUUCUCAAUUUUAAAAUAUUAAUUUUGCAUUUUUAUCAAUAUUUAGUUUCAACCUAAAUUUUCAAUUAUCUUUUAGUCUAAAUUCAUCACGUGAUCCACAUACAGUUAUUUUUAUAUACAAAAAUGUUAGAUCCCACUUUCUUUGUAGCAAAAAAAUAUAGAUUAGCUCAGAUCUUAUUUUUUUGAAAAAAAAUAAAAAUGAUUCAAGUCAAAUCCUAUUUUUUUUGAAGCAAAAUUGAAUAUGGAUUAGGCCAUUUGUUUAAUUACAAAUGAGAUCUAAUCUUUUUGCCCCUUAAAAAAUGACUAUAUGUGAAUCAUGUGAUGAAUUCAAGAUGAAAAAUGGUCGAAAACUUAGAUUUGAAUCAAAUUUUAUCAAUUUGAUUUUAUAAGGAUGUAAAAUUAAUAUUUUUAAAGCGAAUGAUUAAAAAAAUCAUUUGACAAAAUGUGAGAGACAUUUUAAAUAAUUUUCCCAUAACUGAUUUACUUCUCUCAGUAACUGCUCUAUCUUGUACUCUCUCCUUUUUUCUUUUUUUUUGAUACAUUUAUUUAGCUGAUUUCUUUGGUCAUUUGAACAAUGACAAAGCGUAAUACUUGCGUGAUUUUUUUUUUUCUUCUUGGGAAAUUUGGUCGAACACUCAACACGAAUACAAAUCAAGCUAACAACUUCUAGAAAGUUGAGAUUUUGAUAUUCCUAAAAUCCAAACUUAAAUAAUGUACAUAGAUUGUAAUUUUUUGUCAAAAAAUAUUUAUUUAUAUCACAAACAUAUUUUUCAGCACACUUUUUAUUUUUCUAAUUACCUUUUUAUCUCACAUAUAUCACAUCAUAAAAAGUAUUACAAUAAUUAUUAUAAAUAAUAUUUUAAAUAGUUUCCUAUCCAAAAUAAUCUCUUAUCCAAGUGUUACAGUAAUUAUUUAAAAUAAUCUCUUAUCCAAACAUAUAUUUUCUGAAAUUAUGAGUCUGUUUGGAUGACAUGUUUAUUAGGUGUUUAUCUAAAAUUUUAUUAUAUUUAUUUUUUUAAAAAUACUGAUAUAUGUCCAAAACACUCUUUUUUUUUCCAAAUAUCCCCCUUUUUACCUCGCGUGCUACUCGCCAUCCACCGCUGCUACCGGCCUCCGCCGUCAUUACCAUAUUUAGCUCUUUUUUUUUUUCAUUUUAUUAGACCUUCUGGGUAUUUUUGUGUAUUACUAUAGAUGCUGUUUUUUAAAAUUUUAUUUCCUAAAAAGUUACCGAAUAGACCCUAUGUUUAAUUUUAUAUGUAAUCCUAUUGGUGGUUCCCAAUUCGCUUUAGAACAAUUUAACUUAAAAUUUUAUUUGAAUAUGUUUGACAUUGAUCAAUGUACACUCUGUGAGAGGAGUCUUAUAUGGUAUUUGUUUGGAUCAGUGUAUUUGAAUUGACUAAGUUUCAUAUGCAAGUGAGAUUGAUCUACUUUCAUGAGAAUGAUCGUGUUUCCAAAAUUUAUUGUUGAUGUAAGAACUGUGUUGGUAAACGUUCUGUAAAUAAGUUAUUGUUUUAAAGAUAUACUUUGAUAUGUGAUGGUAAUCGGAACUGAAUCCAUCAAUUUUAUUUUAACAUUUUACUACCAAAAAAUAUUAUGACUUUGUUUUCUUUACCCAGAAUAUAUAUAUAUUUUAAAAAAAAAAAAAAAGACGACAAAGAGACAGAGAGACGGGGAAAGGACUGAACUGGGAUUCUUACCAUCAGCAUCCCCUUCAAUUCGCAAACUAAUAGACAACACAUAAAACUCAAUUAGAUAAAUAUACCAGCAACAUAUAUGCACGAGAUUAAAUUGAAGAAAGCAGCAAUUUAGGAAGCUAAAAAUGUAUCCCCUUUUGUUUUCUGGGUUUUUUUUUUUGGGUGGCGGGGAGGGGGGGGUUGUUAAGUAAAAAAUUGGUAAUAGCCAAGUGAUUGUAUUCAAGCAGUCCUUCAAGUUACACGAGUUCUUGGCCAGCGACGUCCACUAGAAAAUAAUCAGAAAAACUGGAAAGCAUUCUGAAGUUUAAUCUAAACAGAAAUGCAAAUUCUUGCACGAACAUCAAAAGCACUGAACAUAAUAGAAGGGAUAGAUUUUAGAGCGAAGAAGUUUUACCAUUUGGGCUCCAUUCCUUUAUUUCAGCAAAUGCUUACAUAUCUAAUCCAUCUAGAAGCUUAUAUUGUCAACCCAAGAAGAUUAGUCCAUGGAAACUUACAGUAGCAGAAAAGAGAUGAUAAUCACACAGUCCAACGGUGGCACUUCUUCUCCGGUGAUGAUUCUUGCUUGGAGCUGGCCAAACACCCUCGCAAACAACACCACCAAACGGGUUUGCUGUUAAUGCGGAAGAGCAUUGAAGUUUGGAAGAAUAGAAGAUUAAAAAGACGAUUAGAGCAGCAAGUUCAGCCAAACGUUUUUAGUAAAAAAUAUUUGAGUGUGGUAGCUUGUUCCGUGGGCAAUUUAUAAACAGCACCAAACCAAGUACUGCUAGAUAUAAAGAAUAAGAGCCACUAUUUGCACUCCGAUCCCUGAGAUUUUCAAUAAUUAGAAAACACCACUCUAUACCUGGCUCGACAGAGUACACAUGACUGGUCCACCACGAUUUUUCUUUUCUUUUCUUUUCUUUUAUUUUUUCCCCACAGGCGAUCGGUCCCCCAUUUUGUGCCACGUAUUUGGAUAUUUCGACUUGUUUAGUGGAAAAAGUCGGCAAGUAAACCUUCACUGGUAGUUUGGGAGUUGAGGAUAGAAAAGAAAAGAAGAGAGAGGUUAAGUUAUGAGAGAAAAUAAAGCAUAAGAAAAGAAGAGAAGAGAUUUUAAUGUUAUUUAAAAAUUUAUGAAAAAAAGAAAAUAAUUUUGAACACAUUGAUCAAUAAAUAUUCCAUUCAAUAGUUUUUUAAGAAUAAAAUAGACAAUUUAAAAAAUUUUUGUAGCCUUUCCAUAUUGUUUCUUUGUUUUCUGCCUGAUUUGGGAUGGAAAUUUUUUUUAACUAUAACGGGUCUUUUCUUCCUCCCAAAUCAGUCAAAUUCUUUUACUUUUUUAUUUCACUAAAACUUUUAAACAUGAAAAAUACCUAUUUUUCUCUUCAACACUUUUCUUUUAUAUUCAAAUCUCAUCUCCCAACCUAGGCAUCAGAACUCAACCCCGAGAACUUUUUGUUUCCAAACAAAUAAAUAUAAAUAUACAGCAUAUCUCUUGAAAGUCUAACAUGGUAAAUGAUCAUAAAUAAUUGUUAUACAGCAUAAAUAAUUGUUAUUAGGUGUAUAAAAAAAGCACCAACCAACCUAAAGAGGGAAGAGGCGUGGGGAUUAGAACAAUUUGAAUUUCGACCAAUUAUAAACCAAUGUUAUAAUAGUGACCUGCCUUCUGUCCUUUGUCCAAGUAAAGAGUCAGAUAAACCGUGGCCCACUGGUCCAUCCGCACAAGCGUAUCGCCAGCUGGAACGCGACUACAAGAUUGCCUCUUCUCUUAAUUGACAAUUUAAGCGAUAGAUUUUGGACAUAUUGCAGUGAUUCGAUCAGAAACAUCGUAGUCCGCAUAACUAACGGCACUCGGGCGGAGCAAAUAUCUCUCAGGGUGCAAUUGCACAUUUGCAGCCCCUCAAUUUUUUUUGAAAGCUAUAGAAUGGCCUAUAAAGAAAAUCUAAAUUUUUUUUAAUAGCUUUACUCUAUACACAUUAUCCACCUACUAUAUACGCAAGAAUUUACAUCUUGAAACCUCAUGCAUAAUUUUAAUUAAUAGUAUGUAAUUUCAUACUAUUAGAUAAUUUGAUAACUACUGCAAAUAAUAAAUAACAAGUUGCAGCAAUUUUCCAAAAAAAAAAAAUUGUGUAUUUAGAGCAAAUAUUUAGUUGUACUAAAAAUUUAUAAACCAACACGUUGUAAGUAUAAACUAAUGUUGUUAUCCCUCGAAUAAAGUUCCUGACUCAACCACUGGGUAAAUCAUAGCUAUGGUAAUUUUUUUAUUUUAGUGUGUCAGUAACAUCAUUCGAACACGAUAACAUCAUUCGAACACGAUAAUCAUUUCUGUGCAAUUUGAAAAAUUUUCACGGAUGACUUAAUCUUACUUAAUUUAGUUAAUAUUUUUAAAAUAUUAAAACCACAAAUGUUCGAUAAAGAGCUGCUAGUUAUUUGCUUAGUUUCAUACAUAUAUACACACACACACACAUAAACCUACAAGUGACACAAGUGUGUUUGGACAGGAGAUUAUUUGUCCAAAUAUAUUUGCUUACAUCACCAUUACAAUUUUCAAUAUAUUUUUUUAAUUUUUCAAUUACUUUUUUAUCUCAUAUACAUCAUAUCACAAAAAGUGUUACAGUAACGCGGAUUUGGUACCAUUUUUAGCCGAUAAUGCGGUAGAGAUUUUGUCAACCUAGAUGAGUCAUGGCUGACUGGAUUUUAGAUUUCCACGUCUACUAGUGAAGAUUGAGGAUCGCAGAUGAACUAGCAUCUCUUAGCUUAUCGGCUACCAGAGACCUUGCAAGAGUAGGUGCCUCCACUCACGAGUGGCCGGCCCACGCCCAUUAUGUCCGAGCCCACCACCCACAUUGAAGUAUAAACUCAACCCGCCAGCCGCAAACACUGACGUGUACAUAAACCCACCGGUUCUUUUCUUUUCUUUUCUUUAAAAAAAAAAAAAAAAAGAGAUAAGGCCACCUUGAAAUUUUCCUUUUCUUUUUUUCCAUUGGCACAAUUGUCCCAUUAAUUAAUGUUACUCACGUCAUGAUUUUUUUAUUUUUUUUUUUGUGUUGGUGCAUCAGUAACAUGAUCUCUUCCACAAUGGUUUCUCUGAUUUAUAUCUGAUUCAGCACUACAGGUUUUAAAGCUUGGGCAUUGGAUGGAUGAUGCUUAGCUAAAAAAGCUUUCCACCUUAAAAGCAAAUUAGUAAAACUAUACUAGAAUGAAAAUACACUUCACAUCACUGGCACCAAUUUCAUCAACUAGUAGCCUGUUAUUUCUUUUUUUCCACCAAAAAUAUGUUUGAAUCAGAAAAUUUUCUCACUCAGGAUUUCAGUUGCCCUUCUUGGCUUCUGUGUUCAGGCCAUAUCCAAAUGGGUACAACGGGUCAUAAUGUCUGUCCCCGACGUUCAUGGGCAGUUGAUCAACCGUCUUGAACCAUGUAUGAGGAAGCUUGCCCGUGAAACCAUAGUCACCAAAUAAAACAUCAGCAACCCCUUGGCCCUCAGUUCCUGGAAGCCAAGCAGCUACAAGUGCAUCAAUUCGAUUCACGUAUGGCUGAAUGACGACAGGCCGGCCGGUGAUCAGAACUACAACGCAUCUCACAGACCCACAAACGUUAGUAAUGGUACUAGGGCCUGGUUCAGGAAUCGUCAAGUUUAAGCUGUCCCCGACUGUUUCAGCAUAUGGUGGCUCUCCCACCACAACAACCGCAUAGGAGAACUUGUUGGACUUGACGAAUUCUGCAUCAGGUUUUUCGCUGUACACAACUUCUGUUGUUGGAUCAACUGCAUUUCUUAUACCAGUCAGGAUUGUGGUACCUGUUUACCAGAAAAGAAUAAGUUGGAGUCAGUUACCAGUACGAAUAAAUGCCAUCACUGCUACUGCUAUCAGCUAAAAUGAUAACCAAAGAACCUUUUGUGAUGUUGCCGCUGAGGCCUUGCCACUCAAUUGUCCACCCACCACAUUGGUUACCAAUAUUAUCAGCGUGGGUUCCUGCAACUAGAAUGCGUUUCGCUUUCUUGGGGAGGGGUAGCAAUGGCUUGGCUGCGGAUUCGCCAUUCUUCAACAGCACAAGAGAUUUCCUCACUGCUUCUCUUGCCAGGUCUCUGUGCUCCUGUUAACGUUAAAAAAGUGUUUAAACUUGGGGCCAAGUGAUCUCAACUUCUCUUUCAUCUUUUCUAUUCAAUCCGCUCUUUGUAAAUCGACACCCACUUACCUGCAACCCAACGUAUUUGGUCAUGCUAUAGUCGGCCAAUGGGUGCUCAAAGAUGCCCAUCGUGAACUUCACCCUCAAAAUCCUCUUCACUGCAUCAUCAAUUCGGCUCAUUGGAACAAAAUUGUUCUUAACCAGGAAGGUUAGACCAUCAAUGAAUUCUGUAUAGUUGUAUGGAAUCAUCAUCUGCAAUAUCCGGAAAAUAACACAAGUCCUUCAGCAUUUAGCAGAGUAGAUUAAUAUUAUAAGCUUGUUAAGCAAAUCAGACUGACCAUGUCAAUUCCGGCGUUGACACCAGCGACAAUUGAGUACGUGUAAUUUGCAUGAGGAGGAGAGGUAAUCCUGUCAAUGCCUUGCCAAUCUGAGAUGACAAAUCCCUGAAUAAUAAUUCAGAACUUAAUUAAUCCUGUGCUUGAUUGAAGAUGUCGAAUGAGGAACUGGAAGCAGGAAGGAGUACUUUUUACUUUCGAAACUGAUUAGUUUACCCGAAAUCUGAGUGUGUUCUUAAGAAAACCAGUGAUCAUUUCACGAUUAGCAUGCAUCUUUAUUCCAUUCCAGCUUGAAUAGGAGAUCAUGACAGUCGAUACACCCUUGAUAAUUGCAUUAUAAUAGCCGGUCAUAUGGAUGCUAAGCAAACCAUGCCUGCUGAUCACUGUAUUAUUCUCAUUGAUGCCUUCAGUCGUUCCUCCAUCACCAACAAAGUGCUUAGCACAUGCAGCAAUGUUCUUUCUGCCAAAAAAAAGAUUAAUCAAGAAUGCAAACUCCGAAGGUACAGGGUAUACAAUUUCUGGGAAUUUAUUAUCUAUUCCUAGAAUAAUAUUUUAAAAAUUAUACAGAUUUUAGGUCGAAAGGAGUAAUUUUCAUGUAUCUUCUAAUUGAUACCGGGUAGAGCUAAACAACCUCCCAAGUCCAAGUUUUGAAGCUUUGAACGGUCAAUUGCACUUUCUAACCUUUUUGUAGGCGUAUGGUUAGAUAUCUUAUUUACUAGUAGACGUUCUUUGUUACCCCUGUUUUAAAGUUCAAUCUGGUCCACAUCAGUUCUUGACGAAAAAAGCAAAAGCUAACAUCCAACUGAUGUUGCUUUCCCAUGAAUGCUAGCGUGCAAUCUUCCAUCAAUAUAUCUCUUUCAUCCCCUUGGAACAAGAAGAUUUUAGCACCCAAAACUUGAAUUUUAAGGAUGGCAAAUGUUGACUUUGGAUUCUUGAAAAGGGCAACACGACUUGAAUAGCUUGAAUAAGACGAAGGAUAUUUCCAAUUAUCCACAAAAGGGCAGCUAAUUGAAGUUUAUGAUAUAUUACUAGUACUUUUCACACUGGAUCCAGGAUUUAUAUGUGCUUCAGAAAGAAAGACAUCGUUGUUCAUUACUUUAUGAAUGAAUCAAGAAAAUGCUGGAAUAAGAGGAAUUUGCAAUACGUACUGGCCAGCAAGAUAAGGAACCCCUAAGCGGCCAUUGGAAGGGAUUUCUCCUUGUAAUCCCGGGAUAAUCUCAGUCAUUGCUCUCACAAUUUUGGGAUCUUCACUGUAGCUUUCAUAACACCGGCCCCAUCUGGGAUCUCUGCAGACCUAAUCACAGAUCGGAAAGGGCACUUAUUUUGAUUGUUUCAAUGUACUCUGAGCUGCAUAACAAUUAAUGGAUCACAGAAGGAGUUAAAUUACCGCAAUGCAAGGUGCAAAAGCAUAUUGAAUGCCUGUAGCUCUCACUUCAAGGGCAGUUGCAGCUCCAAUCUUCUUCACUAGUGCAGGGUCCCUGCUCAAGCCGGAAACUCAGAGAGUUUAAUUGCCACAUUCAAUUAAAGAUUCAAUAUUGAAAAGAUAGAUAUCAAAUUAUGCCAAAAAGAGCCGUAUUCCUGCUAAAUCCCUCCCCGUCCUUCCCCCCUAGACAAGAACUUCAUCUGCAGCUUUUUCAUAAAACAACAAACAAAAUAGUGGACUUCAGCUACUACAAUACAAGAGUGCGUUUUGGAGUACUGACCAAAUUAUAAGCAAAUAACUCACGUCAAAUAAUUGUAAUGCGAACUACUAGCCUCCUAAAUAGUGGUCGUAAUCAAAGGAGAUGUGGAUUAAUCUAGAAACUUAAUCACAGCCAAAUGGUCGUAAUCAAAUGAGAUGGGGAGGUUGUUAGAAUAGCUGGAAAGAUCCAUAUACCGAUAAUCUACCACGUACAAACUUACCUGGUGGCCCCAAGACCAAUAUUAUGAGGAAAAACGGUAGCCUUGUAGACGGUGUUGUGGCCAUGAACAGCGUCAAUCCCAUAAAUCAUUGGUAUCCCAAGACGCGUAGACAAUGAACCCUUUUGGAAAUCGUUUACCAUGUCCACCCAUGUCUCCGGCGAAGCCU
rnacentral:lncRNA from 1 species